AAGAAUAAUGUUAUAAAGAUGACAAAAUAUUUUCUCAGUUCUUUUUCAUAAUUUCUAAACUAGAACUUCCUGAACAUAUGUGGAUUCAAGAUUGCUAAUCUAAAUCCUUAUGUUGGAGUCUUCGUGAAGGGUGAUAGAUUAUCAUUCUCAGAUUUAUCAGUGACAGUUAACAUAUAAUGUUCCUUUGCAAAGUAUGCAAGCCUAAGAAUAUUCUCAAACAUUGCCAAGACUUAGUAGACAAAGAAUAGAUGUUAUUUUAGACUUCCUUUUUAGCCGAUCUAAAAAAAUAUCUUUAUAGCUAUGGGUAUCUUUGCGUUCACAAGACUUUGUUUUCCCCCUUUUCCCUUUUUGUUGCUUAAAAGCAUUAUUGUAAAAUAGAUUAAUAUAAUUAAUAGAUAAUUAAUAUUGGUAGAUUAACGAAAAUAGAUUCAUAUAACAUAAUUAAUAUAAUCUAAAUAAGAUUAACAUAAAAUAGAUUAAUAUAAAAGUUAUCAUUCUAACCACUCUUAAAUGUACAGUUCUCUGACAUUAAGCACUUCAAUGGUGCUGUGUAACUGUCACUGUUGCCCAUUUUCAGAACUUUGUUGUUAUCUCAGAUAAAAACUCUGUACCCUUUACAUAUUCCUCACUGCCCUCUUAGAUAUAUAAACCUCUAUUGAUAUAUACUUUGCAAAUAUUUUUUCCAUUCUAUAGAUUGCCUUUUUAUUUUCUUGAUGAUGUCUUUUGGCAUGGAAGUUUUUUUUUUUUUUUUUUUUUAUUUUUGACAGGCAGAGUGGACAGUGAGAGAGAGAGACAGAGAGAAAGGUCUUCCUUUGCCGUUGGUUCACCCUCCAAUGGCCGCCGCGGCCGGCGCGCUGCGGCCGGCGCACCGCGCUGAUCCGGUGGCAGGAGCCAGGAGCCAGGUGCUUUUCCUGGUCUCCCAUGGGGUGCAGGGCCCAAGCACCUGGGCCAUCCUCCACUGCACUCCCUGGCCACAGCAGAGGGCUGGCCUGGAAGAAGGGCAACCGGGACAGAAUCCGGCGCCCCGACCGGGACUAGAACCCGGUGUGCCGGCGCCGCUAGGCGGAGGAUUAGCCUAGUGAGCCGCGGCGCCGGCCCGGCAUGGAAGUUUUUAAUUUCAAGUUCAUUUUAUCUAAUUUUGCUUUUGUUAUUCAUGAUUUUGGUAUCAUAUCUAAAAGUCCAUUGCCAAAUCCAUGGAUGUGAAGAUUUACUGUUUUCUUCCGAUGAUUCUAGCUUUUAUACUUGUAUCAUUGAUCCAUCUUGAGUUAAUUUUUGAAUAUGGUGUUAGGUGUAAUGCAGAGUCAUUUAUUUGCAUGUAGAAAUCCAGGGGAUUGCUGUUGGUACAGUGGAUUAAGCCACUGCCUGUGACGCCAGUAUCCCACAAGAGCACUAGUUCAAGUUCUGGCUGCUCCAUGUCUAAUCCAGCUCCCUGAUAGUGGCUUGGGAAAACAGUGGAGGACGGCCUAAGUGCUUGGGCCCCUGCACCCAAGUGGGAGACCUGGGUGGAGUUCCAGGCUCCUGGCUUCAGCCUUGCCCAGCCCUAGCUCUUGGAGCUAUUUGGGGAGUAAACUAGCAGAUGGAAGAUCCUCUCUUUCUCGCUCUUGCUCUUUCUUUCUCUCUUUCUGCCUGUAGCUUUCCCUAUCAAAUUAAAAAAAAAAAUCAGUUGUACUGUCACCAUCUGUUGAAGAGACUAUUUUUUAAAAGAUUUAUUUAUUUAUUUGAAAGGCAGAGAUAGAGAAAAGGAAAGAGAAAGAGAGGAGAGACAGAGAUCUUCUAUCUGCUGGCUCACUCCCCAAAUGGCUGCAACAGCCAGGGCUGGGCCAGGCUGAAGCCAUGAGCCAGGAGCUUCUUCCACAUCUUCCCCAUGGUUGCAGGGACUCAAGGACUUGGACUAUCUUCUGCUGCUUUCUCAGGUGCAUUAACAGGGAGCUAGAUCAGAACUGGAGCAACUGGGACUUGAAUUGGCGGUACCCAUAUGGGAUGCUGGCUGCAGACAGAGGCUUAACCUUCUACGCCACACUGCUGGCCCCCAAGAAGAGACUGUUUUCCUCCACAGAAAGGUACUAGCUUCCUUGUUGGAAAUCAGUGGACUGUAGUUAUAUGAUAUUUAUUUCUGGACUAUUAAUUGUAUUCUGUUGGUCUGUUAGUCUGUCAUUAUGUCAGCACCAUGCUCAUUUGAUUGCCAUAUCUUUGUGGGAAAUUUUGGAAUUGAGAUAUAUAUCCCUUCAUUUUCUUACUAUUUUUUUCAGGAUUAUUAUUGUUCAGGGCCUCUUGAAAUUCCAUAUUAAUUUGAGGAUUGACUUUUCCAUUUCUACAGGGAAGACUUUUGGGGUUUGGCUAGAGAUUGCAGUGUAUAGAUUGCUUUGGGUUGUAUUGCCAUUGUAACAGUAUUAAGUUUUCUAAUCCAUAAGUACAGGACAUCUGUCUAUUUAAUUAGGCCCUUUAAAUUUCUUUAAUGUUUUAUAGUGUACAUGCCUUCUACUUCCGUAGUUAAAUUUAUUCCUGCUAUUUUAUUCUUUUAGAUUAAAAGGAUGUUUUGGUGGAUUCUUUGAUAACUUUCUCUGUAUCAGAUCAUGCCAUUUGUGAAUAAACUUUUACUACUUCCUUUUCAGUUGGGAUGUCUUUUAUUCCUUUUCCUGUUUAACUGCUCUAGUCAGAACUUUUAACAUGUUGGUAAUAGCGAUGGUGAAGGUAGACAUCCUUGUCUUUCAUGUAAUCUUGGGAAGGAAACUUUCAGUCAUCAUUGAGUUGGAUGUUACUGUGGCUUUUUCCAUAAACAUCCUUCAUCAUGGUUAGGAAAUUUCCUUUGAUUCUUAAUUUUCUUAUUGUAUUUAUCAUGAAAGUGUUAGAUUUUAUCAAAUGCCUUGUAUCGAUUGAGUUGAUGAUACAUUUUUUUCAUUAUGUAAGUGUGGUAUAUUGUUCUUACUAACUUUCAUAUGUUGACCAUCCUUGAAUUCUAGGAAUAAAUCUGACUUUGAUCAUGAUGUAUAAUCCUUUUAAUAUACUGCUGCAUUUAGUUUGCUCGUAUUUUGUUCCGGGUUUUGCAUAUAUUUUCUUUUUUUUUUAAAGAUGUUAUUUAUUCAUGUGAGAGGUAGAGUUACAGACAGUGAGAGGGAGAGACAGAGAGAAAGGUUUUCCAUCCAUUGGUUCACUCCCCAGAUGGCUGCAUCGGCUGGAACUGCGCCAAUCCAGCUUCUUCUGGGUCUCCCACAUUGGUGCAGGGGCCCAAGCACUUGGGCCAUCUUCCACUGCCCUCCCAGGCCAUAGCAGAGAGCUGGAUCAGAAGUGGAGCAGCCAGGACUCUAACUGGCACCCAUAUGGGAUGCCAGCGCCGCAGGUGGAGGAUUAACCUGCUCCAUGGCGCUGGCCCCGCAUAUAUUUUCAUAGAGGAUAUUGGUUUAUAAUUUUCUUAUGAUAUCUUCAGUUUGGCAUUAAGGUAAUGCUGGUCUUAUACCAUGAGUUGAGAAGUGUUCUCUUCUUUGAAAGAGUUUGGGGGACUGGUAUUGUGGCAUAGUGGGUAAAGCGGCUGCCUGAGGUGCCAGCAUCCCUUAAGGGCAACAAUUUGAAUCCCAGCCGCUCCACUUCUUAUCCAGCUCCCUGCUAAUGCACCUGAGAGAGCAGCAGAAGAUGGCCCAAGUGCUUGGGCCCUGCUCCCACGUAGGAGACCCAGAGAAAGCUCCUGGCUUUAUAGGUGUGUUGGGUUCUUUCUAUUUCUUCUUCUCCUUUUUUACAUAGAUUUUAUUUAUUUAUUUGAGAGGUAGAGUUACAGACAGUGAGAGGGAGAAACAGAGAGAAAGGUCUUCUGUCUGUUGGUUCACUCCCCAAUGGCCGCAACAGUCGGAGCUGCACUGAUCGGAAGCCAGGAGCCAAGUGCUUCUUCCUGGUCUCCCCUGUGGGUGCAGGGGCCCAAGGACUUGGGCCACCUUCUACUGCUUUCCCAGGCCAUAGCAGAGAGCUGGACAUGGAGUAGCCAGGACAUGAACCGGCCGAUAUGGGAUGCCAGCGCCACAGGCGGAGGAUUAACCUCUUACACCACAGCACCGGCCCCUCUGUUUCUUCUUGAGUCAAUUUUUUGUAAUUUAUGUGGCUGUAGGACUUUGUCUAUUUCUUAUAGGUUUAAGUAAUUUGUUGAUGUACAAUUGUUCAUAGUAUUCUCAUAAUCAUCUGUUUCUUUAAGGUUGAUAGUAAUGUUCCCACUUUGAUUUCUGAUUUUAGUUACUUGCUCUUCUCUCUUUUUUUAAAGAUUUAUUUUUCAUUUACUUGAAUGGCAGAGAUAUAGAGAGAGGAGAAAUGGAGAGAGAGAGAGCACGCGAUCUUCUCCAAGCUCUGGUUCACUGCCCAAAUGUGCCAGACCAGAGCCAGGAGCUCGGAGCCUUCUCCAGGCCUCCCAGUUGGGUGCAUAGACUCAAGCACCUGGGCCAUCCUCCACUGCUUUCCCAAGUGCUUUAGCAGAGAGCUGGAUUGGAAGUGGAGCAGCUGGGUCUCGAACAUCGCAGGCACAGCUUUACUGGCUAUGCCACCACACCGGCCCCUCCCCUCUUUUUUUUUUUUUUUUUUUAAAUAUUAACUUGUUUAUUUUUGAAAGAAUUACAGAGAGAGGGAGAGAGAGAUUUUCCAACUGCCGACUCACUCCCCAAAUGGUCACAAUGGCCAGGGCUGGGCCAAGCUGGAGCCAGGAGCAGGAUCCAGGACAUUUAUCUUGGUCUCCUACAUGGGUGCAGGGACCCAAGCACUUGGGCCAUCUUCUGCUGCUUCCCCAGGCACAUCAGCAGGAAACUGGAUCGGAAGUGUAGGAGCCAGGACUCAAACUGGCACCCAUGUGGGCUGCUGGCAUCUCAGGUAGCAGCUUAACCCAUUAUACCACAGUGCUGGCCCCUCUUCUCUCUUUGUUCUUACUUUAUGUAUGUGUUUGUCAGUUUUGUUGAUUUUUUCAAAGAAGCUACUUUUGGGUUCAUUGAUUUUUCUCUACAGUUUUUCUAUUGUCUAUUUCCUUGAACUCCUUGCUAAUAGCCAUGUCCUUCCUUCUGAUACAUUUAGGUUUAGGUUUAGUUUUUAAUGGUUUUUCAGGUUAUAUAGGUGUUUAUAGUCAUUAAUUUCCCUCUAAAUACUACUUUUGCUACAUCCCAUACGUUUUAAUAUGUUUCGUUUUCCUUUUCAUUCCUCUCAAGGUAUUUUUACAUUUUCCUUGUGAUUUCCUCUAUGUCUCAUUGGUUUUAUCUGAGCAACAGAAGUAGGGGAGUGAGAUGGAGAGGGGAAGAGAGAUGAGGGGGAGAGACAGGAGUGGGAGAGAAAAAGAGAAAAGACGGGCAGAACUCCCAUGUGCUGGUUUCUUCCACAAAUGCCCACAAUAGCUAGGACUGCCCACAAUAGCUAGGAACUCAAUCCAAGUCUCCCAUUUUGGUGGCAAGUGUCCAAUUGAGCUGUCACCACUGCUUUCCAGUGUCUGCAUUGGCAGGAAAGCUGGAAUUGGGACCUGGGAAUUGAACCAGACGCUCUGAUGUGGGACACAGGAGUCUUAGUAGGUAGGCCAAACCCACCCCAUGGGUUUUUAAAGGAGUGUUUAAUUCCAUACAUUUGUGGAUUUUCCAGAGUUUCUUCUAUUCUUUAUUUCUAGAUGUAUUUCAUUGUGGUUGCAAAGUAUAUGUUAUGUGAUUUUAAAAUUUAUUGAGACUUAUUGUGUGGUCUUAACAGGGUCUCCUUGGGAGGUUAUUGUAGAUAAACUUUAGAUGUAUAUUCUGUUGUUUGUAGGAUGUUCUGUGGGUCUGUUAGGGCUAGUUGGCACAUGUGUUGUACAAAUACUGUUUCCUGACUUAUCUUCUCUUAAGUUCUAUAUAUUAUUGAAUGAGAUGUGUUGAAUAUGUUAUUAUAGAACUUCAUUUUUCUCCUUUUACUUCUGCUUGCCUCCUAAAUUUUGGGGUUCUGUAUUUGGUACAUUUAUAUUUCUAAUAAUUAUUUUUAAUCAUUGAUGCUUUUAUUAAUACAUACUAUCCUUUGUCUAAGUGUCAGCAGCAUUUAAGAAAGUUGCUUUAAAGUCUUUGUACAGUAAUUACUUGUUGGCCUUUUCAGAGACAUUAUCUGCCCAUUUUGUGUUCUUCAGUGAACUCUGCCUUGUGAUUUGUUGCUGCUGCUGAACACCAGAUGUGUGAAAACUGUAAUGUUACUUUUCUUUUUUUUUUACGAUUUUAUUUAUUUAUUUGAGAGGUAGAGUUACAGAGGCAGAGACAGAGGGAAAGGUCUUCCAUCCACUGGUUCACUCCCCAAAUGGCUGCAGUGGCUGAAGCUGGGCCAGUCUGAAGGAGCCAGGAGCUUCUGGGUCUCCCACAUGGGUGCAGGGGACCAAGCACUUCCAUCUUCCACCGCUUUCUCAGGCCAUAGCAGAGAGCUGGAUCAGAAGAGGAGCAGCCAGCACAUGAGCAUGCACUCACAUGGGAUGCUGGCGCCACAGGGGAGGCUUAGCCUACUGCUCCACUGCACCGGCCCUAGUGUUAGGUUUCUUGAGAUCAGACUCCCAUUUCUUCCACAAGGAUUAUUCCCAUCCCUCCCUUUUAAAGGCUGUGAUAUCCAUUUUUUAUCAAGUAAGUUUUCCCAACUACUUUUUUUUUUUUUUCCAGGCAGAGUUAGACAGUGAGAGAGAGAGAGAGAGAGAAAGGUCUUCCUUUACUGUUGGUUCACCCCCCAAAUGGCCGCUAUGGCCGGCGCCCUGCGCUGAUCCAAAGCCAGGAGCCUGUUGCUUCCUCCUGGUCUCCCAUGCGGGUGCAGGGCCCAAGUACUUGGGCCAUCCUCCACUGCUCUCCCGGGCCACAGCAGAGAGCUGGCCUGGAAGAGGAGCAACCGGGACAGAAUCUGGCGCCCCAACCAGGACUAGAACCUGGAGUACCGGCGCUGCAGGCGGAGGAUUAGCCAAGUGAGCCACGGCGCCGGCCUGGGCAGAUUGCUUUGAAUUGUAGGAGCUAAAGAAAUAAACAGUAUCUCUCCCAGUCUUGCAGAUUGGCCUUUGCUGGGUCCUUUAGCAGUUACCACACUUGAGCUGGCCAGCAUUCAGGCACAAGGUCUUAGGUGUUUUCUGAGCACGUAUCCCUCCCUGGGCAUGCAUGUGGCUAUCUGAAUUCCCCACAGAUAUGGACGCUUUUGGUUCUCCUGAUUUCCCAGGGAAACGCUCCUUGGCCUUUCCUCUUAGGCCUCAGGUGGUCUGUUGUGUGUCUCAAUUGCAGUUUUUUACUUCUGCUGUCUGAGAAUUUUUCAUCUACCUUACAGUUUUCUUGGGCAGUCCUGUCUACUUUUUCAGUCUGGAUGAAUUUCAAGUUUGUACUUUGCAUCAAUUCUUCAGGUACCCCUUCCUGGUUAAAAUAGGGUUGCCCAGUAAUUUGUGCAUAUGGGUUUGCUGUGCUCCUUUUGGAACCAGAGAGCAGGGUUUGUUUCAGGGACUGCGGGUUGCUGCUGCAUGGGGAGUAGGUAGGGCAAAGAUAAAUAAUGCUGCAAGGCCUUCUUCCCAUUCGAAGUUGACUCUUGAGUCACUGUUGACUUGGUUGCUGUAAACCUUUGACUGCUUCCCAGAGUUCUGAUAAAGUCCAUACGAUUCGGGCAGUUAGUGCUUGUUUUGUUUUGUUUUUUGAUGUUUCAGGUGCAGGGGUGUGGAUGGGCACUUGGAACUGCCUACCUUGACAUUUUUCUGAGUCAGCCUGUCAGACUUUAUUCUCUUGUUGUCGUCCAUUUCAAAACUUGCAGAAAACAUUUCCUUCUUCCACCUCUGCACAUUGUGAAGAUAAGAGAUGCCCUGUUGCUUGUCAAUCUGUUUUUCUCAUCUCCCUAGCAGUCACCUCAGUUUUUGUUGUUCUGCUGUCAGUACACUUGUUACUUAAGUAUUAGUGUUAAUAUUUUCUCUAUUAAAUAUUAGAUUAAAUGCUAGGUUAAAUAUCAUGUUCCUGGAUUUAGGGUAGGCUUCUGUCCCAAUACACCUAUUGUAAGCUGAGCAGAUUGUUAAUUGGAAAUGUAUUUCGUCCGCCUCACCUGCUGAGCACCAUCUCUUAGCAACAGCAGACUGCAGAGUGCCGGUUGCUUCCUUUGCUGGCCUUGCUGGGCCCUGGGACUCCCUGUUGCUACUCGGCAUCAGGAGACACUGCAGAACUGCCUAUCGCUAACCUGGAAAAAGGUCAGCAUGCAGAAUGUGAAGUGUGUUUUCUUUAUUGGCUGUGUGCUGCUUUUGUACCAAUGAAAAGUUAAGAAACUAUAAGUUGAACCAUUGUAAGUCAGCAACCAUCUGUACUAAAUAAAUUUUUUUUUUCUUUAAAGAGCUUUGGUGCUGACUUAGUCCAUUUGGGGUUCUGUAAUGAAAUACUACCACAGUUUGGGGUGCUUGUAAACCACAGAUUUACUUUUUGUGGCUGUGGAGGCUGGGAAGUACAAGGUCAAGGGUUUGCAGAAUUGGGAAGGGUUUGCUUUCCCUCGUGUGGAUGAGUACCUUUUUUCCUAUGUUGGGUCUUUUUUAUAAAAGUAGCUGAGAGCAUUGAUCCCAUUCAUGAGGUGCCCAUUUCCAUGAUCUAAAUCACUUCCUUAGGCUCUACCUCCUAAUACUGUCAUCUUGAGGGUUAGGUUCUAACCUGGGUAUUAGGGCAUGUGUGGACACAGACAUUCAUACCAUUGCAGGUGCCUUGUUAUCUCUAUGACAUCUCUAGGCCAUGUUUUUUCCCCAUGCACUUUUUUUUUAAUGAAAUGCUGUUAAUAGCUUUCUCUCUCUCUCUCUCUCUCUCUCUCUCUUUUUAAGAUUUAUUUAUUUAUUUAUUUAUUUGAAAGGCAGAGUUACACAGAGAGGAGAGGCAGAGAGAGGUCUUCCAUCUGAUGGUUCACUCCCCAGUUGGCCGCAACGGUUGGAGCUGUGCCGAUCCAAAGCCAGGAGCCAGGAGCCAGGAGCUUCUUCCGGGUCUCCCAUGUGGUUGCAGGGGCCCAAGGACUUGGGCCAUCUUCUGCUGGAUUUUCCCAGGCCAUAGCAGAGAGCUGGAUAGGAAGUGGAGCAGCCAGGACUCGAACUGGUGGUAUAUGGGAUGCCAGCACUGCAGGUGGUGGCUUUACCCGCUGCGCCACAGUGCCGAUCUUCCCCAUGCACUUCUGAAACGAUCCAAGGCAAUGGAAAUAUGGUGUUAUAGUUGUUCAUUUACUGACAAAACUGAAGUACAGCUUAAAUAGUCUUAUUUGAUAUUAUGCAUUUCUAGUCAGUUUGCAAAUAUGAAAAGUUAUUCAUUUGAAAGAACAUUAAACAGUGAUCACUGUACAUGGCUUUUUAGGAAUUUAUUGCCCCUUCCUGUAACAUGAGAUGGUGUGUGACAGUUUAUUGAGGAGACAUUCUCAUUAUACAUGAGCUAGAAAUGACCAUUUCAAUGAGCUGGAGACCCUGGGAUGCAAGAAUGCAGAGAGUAUUUUGGGUAUUCCUUAGCUGCUUUUGUCCUAGAUGAACCAUUUUGGUACUGGAUUGGGACUGACUGAAUUUUUAGGAGAAUAAUCUAAGAGUUAAACCUGUUGCAUUUAUUCUGGAGACUGACCUGGGGAAAAACCCCAGGAAACAGUUACUAGUAAACUUUAAUUUCUGUUGAUAGACUCCAAGGAUGGGUUGCCCAGGAGCCCCUGCCAUUUCCCCAGCGACCCACCUUGCUUCUACCUUGUUUGUUCGGUGUAAACCAGAAACAACUUGGUUAAAAGUCCCCUGAAACCAUAGAAGUUGGUGGUCCUGCACUUCACUGCUUCAGAUGGGUAUAGCCAAGCGGCUUGUUGGAUUACUUACUAUUGACAUGUUGCUUCUAGAGGUUUUCUUGUAUUCAAGGCAUAGCUUAACCCUGACCUCACAUUAGUGAGGUGAAAUGGGAAGGUGGCAGGGAAGGCUCCCUCAGUUUACAGAUGAUAAAGAACGCUUCGGUGCCAUGCUUUCUGCACUAAGUGUUGGUCCAGGAAACAGCUCUCCAGGUGUCCAAGGCUGAUCUUCUGUGUUACAUCUGACAAGUGGAUAUUAAGAAAUAGUGCUUAGAGAGGAGCACUGUGGUUAAAAGGUAACAGAGGAGAAAGGAAAGGGGAUUGUCAGAAUCAGAACCCCUCACUGUGCAUGUGCAUGUGUGUGUGUGUGCGCACAUACGUAUUACUGUGUCUGCAUAUGUCUGUAUGGCUAUUAUAUUUUGGCCAUAUACCUUAUAUUCUUUUUUAAAUUAAUUUAUUUAUUUGAAAGAGUUACACAGAGAGAAGGAGAGGCAGAGAGAGAGAGAGAGAGAGAGAGAGAGAGAGGUCCUGCAUCCACUGGUUCACUCCCCAAUUGGCUGCAACAGCCGGAGCUGUUCCGAUCCGAAGCCAGGAGCCAGGAGCUUCCUCUGGACUUCCCAUGUGGGUGCAGGGCCCCAAGGACUUGGGCCAUCUUCUGCUGCUUUCCCAGGCCAUAGCAGAGCGCUGGAUUGGAAGUGGAGCAACCGGGUCUCGAACCGGCAUCCACAUGGGAUUUUGGCAAUGCAGGUGGUGGCUUUACCUGCUGUGCCACAGCGCCAGCCCCCAUACACCUUAUAUUCUAACUCCUGGUUCUUCUGGAAGUAGCAAAGCUUUUAAAACAUUAACUUAACAAGAACCUCUUGAAUUUUCACUUCAAACCCCUCCCCCACUUUUUUUCCUCUUUCUGAACUUUCAUUUUCCCCACAGGACUCCCAGGGAAGAAGAGUUAGAAAAACAUAAAUGUAGGGGCAGUAAAACUGAGGGCAAAGGGCUAAUGAGAGCUCUGAGCUAGUGCUGGGAAAGAGCUUGAACCCCAGGGCUAGAGAAAAGGAAAAAGGCUACAGUACCUAGAGUAAUUGACCUCAUUCAUAGCAUGACUGCUAUGACACACAGUUGCAGAGUUAGAUUUGUAAAGGAUCAGAGGACUGUGGGCUCUGCUUGAGGCACUUUUCCAACCUCACUGCUGUAUCUGAAUCGAAGCCGAAGUCUGUGGGAUGAUUGGCUUUUUGACCGUGAAUAGGCAGGCCCAGUAGGGAAGCAGGUAGGAAGCAGCGCGGGCCUGGUCAUGGCCUCUUCUGCCCAUUGUAGACAGAACAGUUGUAUGCGGGAAGCCAGCACCGAGCGACUCUCCCAACUCACUUUCACGUUCCCGCUCAGAAGCGCACCUCUGGAACUCACCAAGGCAGUGGGGCUGAGGGAUGCUUGUCUUUCUGAUGUCUCUUUAUACUUUUUUCCUGCGUGCGCUUUUCAACGAGAGCUUGGGCAGGGAGCACAGAGAUUUAGGACAAAGUGAAAUUUAAACCUUUUCUUUAGCCCUGUGGUCUUGAACAAGCUACUGAAUUCUCUCUAGCCCUGUUCCUCAACUGGUAAAUGAGGUAACAAUACUACAUCCACCUCAUAGGUAAAACACAUUAGUUUAUAUUCAUAGAUAGUGCUUAACACAAAGUGCUGUAUAAAUGUUGCUGGAAACUUAAAAAAUGAGCAAUGGACUAUGCAAAGAACAAAAUUAUAUAUUUUAUUCCAUCUAAAUAACGGAUUCCACUUUUUGCCCUUAGAUUUUAUUAUGAGACUAGAUUUUGUCACGGAUAACUCUCUCUAGGAGAUAUAGGGAGAUAGUUAAAUAUAUGAUCAAAGAAAGGCAUGAUAUAUGCAGACUUGGGUGGAUUUUGUGAAACUUAGUAACAGGUCAAGCCUGAGAAAUGACAGUGAUGACAAAAGACAGUCUGUCCAUCGCAUUAUCCUUGCAGCUAAAAUUAUUUAUUAGAAUUAGACACAUUUGGAAAUGUAUUUGUUAAUCCUUUAUCCUGGGGAAAACAAGCCUUGCAGUACUUACUAUUUACACAAAGCUAUUUUUAAGACCCUCUCAUAUUUGAAAGAAUGGUAGUUGGGGUUGACCCUCACAGAGUAUGGUUUUAUAUUUUCUAAUAAUUUUUGUUGUUACAUUUAUUGAUUUAUGUCAUUGUAAGUGGCUCUGAUUUUAUUAGAAAAUAAUUUUGGUUUUAUCACUUGCUUUUGGUGUGGUAUUACAUGAGUUUAUGUAAAGGGUUCUAGCUGCCCUGGUUUCAUGUGCAGGGGGAAUGGGUUGCAUAAAGUAACUUGUUUCUUUUUGAAAAAGAACUGUUUUCUUUUUCCUUUUGUGAUCUAACUGGACGCCUGGGUCCAGAAGGAGUGGCUGGACUGAGGAAGAGGUGAGAGAUGAGUAUCAAGUAGACACGUCUUUGAUGUCACAAUGCAUCUGUUCUGUGUGGUUCUGCUGGGAAUGGCCAUUGGCUGCGAAGUCACUGGUAGUGGUUUAGCGAGUAGCUAAAACUGUUGUAACUCAUUAGAGUUCUUGUUCUGGCUCCCAAGUGUCACUCAGACCAUCUUAAAACUUAAGAGCUCAUUGCUUUACUGGGUUAACCUCUAGAUAUUUUGUAGUAAUGUUUAAAAUUUUUAAGGUGAUCAGAAGGUAGAUUCUUUUAUGUAAGUGACACACACACAACAGAAAAGUGCUUCAUAAUUCAUGGAGAAGAAAGUAUGUUCUGUGAUUUUUCACUGCCAAAUUAUUGGAAUUUUCUUUUUUUAAAAAAUAUUCAAUUUACUUUCACUGCUGGUUCACUCCCCAAAUGCCUGCAACAGCCAGGGUGGGGCCAGCCUGAAGUCAGGAGCCCAGAGCUCAGUCUGGGUCUCUCACCUGGUGUGACAGGGACCCUUAAGUACUUCGGCUGUCACCUGCUGCUUCCCAUGGGAUGCAUUAGCAGGGAGCUGGGUUGGAAGGAGAGGAUCUGGACAAACCAGCUACUCUGGUGUAGGACGUGGCUGUCCCAAGCAGCAUUUUUUUUAAUAGAUUCUUAAAAAAAAUUUUUUUUUGACAGGCAGAGUUAGACAGUGAGAGAGAGAGACAUAGAGACAAAGGUCUUCCUUUUUCUGUUGGUUCACCCCCCAAGUGGUUGCUACGGCCGGCGCACUGCGCCCAUCUGAAGCCAGGAGCCAGGUGCUUCCUCCCGGUCUCCCAUGCGGGUGCAGGGCCCAAGGACUUGGGCCAUCCUCCACUGCCCUCCCGGGCCACAGCAGAGAGCUGGACUGUAGUUCUUCUGGGCUGGAGGAGGAGGAGAGGCUUCUCCUGGGUGUACUCUGUGGAGGUGAAUCGGCUCUCUAAUUCAGUAGCGUCCCCACAUGCAAUAUCUCCUCCCCCCUGCCCCGCCCCAGUUGUCUAUAUCCUUAACUCUUGGAUGCCGGUUUCUCUGCUCGCUCUCCUAAGACAUUGUGGAGGCUUUCUCUUUUUUGACUUCUUUUUACAAUUAAGUGUGUUUCUGCCUCAGCAAAUAAAAAUAAUCUGAUUAUCUUGGGCCAAUCACUUAGUUUCUGUUGCCACUGUUUGCACAUAUGAUAUAUGAUGGAGUCAGAUUACUUUCCAGAUGUGAAUUUCUGGAAGUAGGAUGAGAUUGACCCUUUGGUAGGCCUUUUCUUGUUUUCUUUUUCUUUGUAAUGUUGCAUGGUGCUGUGUGUUUGCUCUGACGCGGGUCACUAAGCGCAGUGCCUCUUUACCGAAGCAGGCUAACCUCUUACUCUUUAGCUUCCUUCUUUGUUAGUGAAGCCAAUCAGAAUUUUGAGUUGCAGUCACUUUGAUAUAGUUUAGUAUGUACAAUUAUAUGCAUAUAUUAAAUAUUAAAGUAUGAGCAAUGAUAAGAAAGAUCCUCUCAUCACUUCUAAAGGGACUUGCUAAUCAGUAAAGUUUAUGAGGGGUUUAAAAUGCUGCCAGCUUUGUAAAGAGCUAUAGGGACCACUUAGAGUUUUCGCAACAUAACUGGAAAGAUAAAGACUUCUGAAAUGAAAGAAUGACCAGGUGCUGUGUCUUGUGCUGUAAGUGCAGUUCUGCCACAGAGUACAACCAAAAUGCUUGCUUGUCCUGUUUGCCGACAACUACCAUAAUGCCCAGGUUAGUGAAAAGGGUUGAUGACAGUCUAGAUUUGUAGAAUUGCUAUGAGCAAAGGCACUGGGUGGUAAACUAGGCUGAUGGGGGUGGGGAGGGGAGAGAGUGAAGGGAGGAUAUGGGUGGCUCUGUGAUUUGGACACCGAGUACCCUCUUUAAGGAUUGGGAAAUUUGCCAGUGUAAGUGGUGUGGGAAGAUAACUUUAAACUCCAGCCAGAGGCAUUUAGAUUGGAGGCAAGGGGAGUAUCUGUUCACAACAAUAGCUUUUUCUUGAAUUCCAUUUCAUAUCCUUGAUUUCUUGAAUUGAACUUCCCUUAGGUACUUUGGAUGGGGUCCUAUUUGCAGUUUUGAUCGGAUUGAUUUUUUUUUUUUUUAAUUUUAUUUGAAAGGCAGAGUUCGAGGGAGAGACAGAGAGAGAUCUUCCAUCCAGUGGUUCUCUCCCCAAAUGACUGUGGCAACCUGGGCUGGUCAGGCUGAAGCCAAGAUCCAGGAACUCAAUCCUGGUCUUCCACAUAGGUGCAGGGACCCAAGGACUUGGGCCAUCUUCCAUUGCUCCAUUGCUUUCCCAGGCCUAUAGUAGGGAGCUGGAUGGGAAGUGGAGCAGCCGGGACUCUUGUAUGAGAUGCCAAUGGCACAGGCAGUGGCUUAACCUGCUCUGCCACAAUGCUGGCCCCUGAUUGAAGGUUUUUUUUUUUUUUUAAUAUUUAUUUAUUUAUUAUUUAUUUGAAAGUCAUAGUUUCAGAGAGGAGAGGCAAAGAGAGAGAAAGGGCUUCCAUCUGAUGGUUCACUCCCCAGUUGGCCGCAACUGCUGGAGCUGUGCCCAUCCAAAGCCAGGAGCCAGGAGCUUCUUCCGGGUCUCCCAUGUGGCUGCAGGGGCCCAAGGACUUGGACCAUCUUCCACUGCUUUCCCAGGCCACAGCAGAGAGCUGGAUUGGAAGAGGAACAGGCGGGACUAGCACCAGCGCCCGUAUGGGAUGCCGGUGCUUCAGGUCAGGGCGUUAACCCGUUGCACCACAGCGCCAGCCCCAGAUUGAAGGUUUUAAUGAGUCUCCUUCCCUUUGCUGUUUUCUAAUCUCGGCAUAACAUUUUAGAAUAUGAAAUUGGAAGGGUCCUUGGGGUUAAUCUGAUCCGCCCUCCUGCCCAGUGCAGGAAGCACACCUUAGUUUUUGUAAUGAUUGUUCUGUUGCUGUAAACCAUUUUUAAAUGGAACACUUUACAUUAGAUUUCAUUCUUGUGAUAAAACCUGCCUUUCUUAGCUUUAUCCAGAGCUCUACAGUCUUUUUCCAUUUUCUAGAUUUUUUUUGGAUAUUUGAAGACAGUUAUGGUGUCUCCUUCUAAAUUUUAUUUUCUCCAUCUAAAUAUUUUGCUUUCUCUUUAUAUUUCAAGAUUCCCCACCAUUAUUUUUGUCCAUCUUUUUGUAUUGCCUAUCUUACUGAAUAACCAGAAUUGAACAUAAUACCCUUUUGAAAAAUCAAUUAUGAUGUUUGUAGCAGCAAAAACAGAAAGCUCCUUUUCAUCUGGCUUAAAAAAUGAGAAUUUACUUUUUUCAAUUCUGAGAUAAACCUUUUCGUAUUUGAACAUUACUGAAAUUGAGGUGUGUGGUACAUUUAAGUAAAAGGCAUGUCAGUUAGGUCAGCAGCCUUUUCUCUUGAUGAUUCAUAAAAUAAUGAUGUGUCUUUCCAUUGCUGAAACAUGCUGUUAUCUCAGAUGGCCAGGGCUCUCGUUAUUCCAUGGCCACGGUCACAGUGAGGACCCAGUGUGGCCGAUGUGCGUUUGGCUUGUCCUCCCCGGGUUGUGAGUCGGCUGCAACGGUUCUAAGCAUCAGAUCAGCAGUCCACAGCAUCUGAAGGCCAGGAGAGAUAAGAUUCCUCCUUUAUGUCUUUUUUAAGAGUAAACAGAAUUUCCAGAUGCUGCCCCUCCUUGGUUAAGCUUGUCACACAGCCAUUUCUAAGACAGUCAAGGGGAAGAAACAGGUGUUACCAUUGUUGACUUAUUGGUUCUCUGUCAGUGGUUCACAAUUUGUGUGCACCAGCAUCACCGUGUGUGUGUGUGUGUGUGUGUGUGUGUGUGUGUGGAGGGGAUUGUGAAGACCGUUUGAUUAGUGGGCUGGGGGUGAGGCCUGAGGAUUUGCAUUUCGCACAAGCCCCUGCUUGAUGCUGAUUCUGCUGGGCCAGGAAAUGAGAUGGGUCCAGUGUCUCUGACAGCACAAGGCCACUUGGUAACCAGUCAAAGCCAUGGCUGCAUUUGUUAGCAAGAAGUGAGCUCUAAAUCCAUGUUCUUCUCAGGUGUUGUAACACACUGAAAUGUAGUUGUUACCGGCGGGUUGUCCAGAAUGUCUUAUUAGCAGUAUGCUAAGUUUGGAGAAUGAUACUUAUAUCAUAUACAGUUGAUCAGGUAGACUGAAGAUGAGAUUUGUUCCUCCAAUGUGCUUUCUGGUGGGGCAGAGGGAGGGUCCCUAGUCAAUGAUGACAGAGAAUUGGGCACACCUGUGGUAACACGUGCAUGCAGUGCACAUUGAAGAUAGCUGAUGUAUAGCACCUAAUCUGAAUGUCAGACUAAAUCCCUGCAGGAGCUGCUGUUAUGUCCACUUUCCUAAACGAGAAACUGAGGCCCCAGUAAUUUGCCCAGUGUUGUACCAUUGCUUAGUGGUAGAGCUGGGUUUCAGAAUAUGCAGUGGCCUCACAGCCCAUACUUUUUUGUUUGUUUUCUUUUUUAAAGAUGUAUUUAUUUAUUUUAAAGUGAGAAUUACACACACAGAGACACUCUUCCAUCUGCUGGUUCACUCCCUAGAUGACUGCAGUGGCUGGGGCUGGGGACUUGUGGAGCGGUGGGGACUUGAACCGGCACCCAUAUGGGAUGCCAGCACUGUAGGCGGUGGUUUAACAUGCUGCGCCACAACGCUGGCCCCGUAGCUUGUGCUUUUAACCAUCCGUUCCACUGUAUGCCAUCAGGCUUCUGUAAGAAAGGUGAGGCUGAGAGGUUCAUUCUGUGUUUUCAGCUUGUGUGCAGAAGAGAGGGAUUAGUGUUCUUGUAAUUCCUCCCUCCCACUGUGAUUCACUUCUACAUAUAUUUGUGCCAUUGAUUCCUUUGAAUGUAAGUGUGAAACUUAAAGCAUUACGGUGACUGUGUGAGGUUUCGGUAUCUAUGCAUUUUAUAGAGAGGAGGGAGUAGAGACCUGCUGUUGUCGAAUGUUAGGGUGUGGAGGUAAAUUUGCUUUGGGAGAGGGAUUAUGUUGGUCACCGUCUCCAUGGCAAGUGAUGACUUCAGUACACAGGUUUUUAGUUGCUCCAGAAUUGUGGGGAGAACUAAGAGUCCUUGAGGCCAAGCCCCCACACACAGACAGGAGAGCUGGGCCGCCUCGCUUCUUGCUGCACGUUGCUUAGUCCUUUCCGCCUGGCCGUCCUGAGACACUUGCCUGGUUCUCUUGCUUGAGGCUUUGUGGGAGUUCCUCAUUUGCCUGUACUCUCAUUCCUCCUCUCUCCUUGGCUCAUGUUUAUCCCUCUGGCCUCAUUCUAAAUUUUAUGUUAAAAACUUUCCUGCUUUCCUGCUGUAAUCUUGCAGAGAUAUAUAGAUAUCUCUGCUGCCUGCUUCCAUUGUCCCCGCAUUCCCCCUGUCCUGGUUACCUGAUUGUUAGUUAGUGCUUAGUAGGUUGCCUUUCCCUACUCCUCACUGUGCCCUAUUACCUUGCUCCAUGUGGUAGUGAGUUGGGUGAUUCACAUUUGGAAAGUCAUUGAUUGUGCUUUGGGAGCUUCAUUAUCAAGAAAUAGAUGCCAGUCACUGACUUCUAAGUUGUAAUGUGUAAUUUUUGUAAUUAUAAUGAGCUUAGCAGAUUUAUGCUUUUGUUUGAAUUAACACCCUUUAUAAUAUGUCUAAUGUAACUUAAGAUCGAGCAGUUGGUCUCUUUGCUAAAUUCUUUCAAGUUUGGAUAGUAGUGAUCUGAGAGGUUGUAACUAGAGAAAAAGACUCUUAAAAAAAUCAAACUUGCUUUUGAGUAAUUUUAGGUUGACAGAAACUUUCCAUAUACUCCUUGACCAGUUUUCCCCAUGGUCAGCGUCUUCUGUUACCCUGGGGCAUUUGUCUAAACUUAGAAACUAACAUUGCUAGGGUCUGCUCUGUGGUGCAGCAGUUUAAAGCUCUGGCCUGCAGUGCCAGUUUCCUGUAUGGGCGCUGGUUUGAGUUCCGGCUGCUUCACUUCGAAUCCAGCUCCCUGCUAACGCACGUGGGAAAGCAGCAGGUCCUUGGGCCCCUGCACCCACGUGGGAGACCUGGAAGAAGCCCCUGGCUUUAGCCCAGCUCCAGCUGUUGCAGCCAUUUGGGGAGUGAACCAGCAGAUGAAAGACUCUCUCUCUCUCUCUUUCUCUUUCUCUGCCUCUGCCUCUUUGUAGUGACUUUCAAGUAAAUAAAUAAAUAUUAAAAAAAUAAAAACAUUACUGCUUGACUUGACUUUGCUGGACCUCAUCCGUUUUCCUAUUCAUGUCUUCUCUCGGUCCCCAGCGUGCAGUUCACCACGCAUCUUACUGUCAUGUAGUCUCCCCUGGACUGUGACAGUUUCUCAGUCUGUCCUUGUGGUUCGUAACCUAGUAGUUUUGGGAAAGACUGGUCGGGUGGUUUGUCGAACGUCCCCCAAUUUGGAUCUCCCUGACAUUCACCUCAUGAUUAGACUGCAGUUAUGGUUAUGGAUGUUUGGGAAAAUAGCCCAGCCGUAAAGUGCCCUUUGCGUCACGUUGUAUUAAGGGAUGUGUGAUCGUUACAUGACGUGUGGGUGAGGUUAAUCUCCAUCACUUGGUUAAGGUGAGCUUGGCCAGUCCAAGGUACUCUUUUCCCCUUUCUCCACUCUCCUUUUUGGAAGCAAGCCCCUCAGUCCAGUCCCCCUCCAGAGCCGUGCGUAGGUGUGAUCUGGUGAUGGAACGCCACCUCCUGGAGUGGGAAGUUCAAGUUAUUUAGGGUUCUCCUGUGAAUAAGACUCAUGUUUUUUCUUGCCUCCAAAUAGAUGUUUUUACUUAUCACUGUGUACUUUGUAGAACGUUGAUGACAGUUUUUUUUUUUUUUUUUAAGAUUUAUUUAUUUGUUAGGAAGAGCUACAGAGGGAGAGGGAGAGAAGAGGGAGGAGGAAGAGAGAGAGAAGAGAGAGAGGGAGAUGGAGAUCGAUCUUCCAUCUGCUACUUCACUCCCCAAAUGGCCGCAAUGGUCAGGACUAGGCCAGGCUGAAAGCCAGAAGCCAGGAACUGCAUCCGGAUCUCCUACAGGGGUAGCAGGGGGUCCAAGUACUUGGGGCCAUAUGUUGCUGCCAUCUCAGGCACAUUAGCAUUAAAUUUAGCAAGGAGCUGGAUCAGAAGUGGAGCAGCCGGGACUCGAACAAUGCCCAUAUGGGACACUGGCACUGAAGGUGGUGGCUUUACCCACUGUGCCACAGCGCUGGCCCCUGAGGGGCAGUACUUUUUAACUUCUUUGGAAUCACCCUCCCUUUUGGGAAUUGCUAUAGAGUUUUUCUCCAAAGACAUUAGGAUACACAGAGUUCCUGUAUGAUUUUAGGAGUUUUCCAGCUCUUUGAAGCUCCUAGGGCUUCAGCUAAGAGAUUACUUUCCUUCCAGUCGUUGAGCUCAGUUGAGGAGACAGGCAAUGAGGAAGUGGAGCCCUGCCUGUUGCCUCCUGUUAGGAAGCUCUGUGCAAAGUUAAGGCAGCAGUUUUACUUUGGGUGCGAGUAUAGAAAAAGCUACGGAGAGGGGAUGUUACUUGAAUUUGUUCUUUAUGACUGAGAAAAAGUUAAAUCAACACAAGGGGGCCCUCGACCUGUGACACUGGCAUCCCACAUGGGCACUGGUUCGAGUCCUGUCUGCUCCACUUUCGAUCCAGCUCUCUGCUAUGGCCUGGGAAAGCAGUAAGAGGUGGCCCACAUACUUGGGCCUCCACACCCACAUGGGACACCUAGAAGAAGCUCCUGGCUCCUGGUAUCCGAUGGGCUCAGCUAUCUGUUGUGGGCAUUUGGAGUGAACCAGUGGAUGGAAGAUCUGUCUGUCUCUUCCUUUCUCUGUAACUCUGCCUCUCAAAUAAAAAAAAUCUUAAAAAAAAAUCAACAAAAGGUUGGGAAAGCAUUCUUACUAUAUACAACAAAACCAGCAAAGACUUAGGCUAAAGUGCCUGGCUUGUUUUCAGAUGUUUUGGAGUUGGUUGAAGACUCUGAUCUUGCCACAGCAAAAAGUGAAGUGAGAGGUGGGCUGGAUAUAAAAUUAGGGCUGGGGGAGGUAGGAGAAGGCACUGAGUGGAAAGAGAAUCAGAUAAACUUCUCAGUUUGUGCAUUUUGAAGUAUUUAAUUGACUAAUAAUUUUAUACAUAAAUUAUUUUCAUCUUUAGUUUUAUGUCUCAGUAAUUUACUGCUUGCAUCUUAUAUGCAUGAAUUAAGGAGUGAGGAGGAGGUGAAGAAGUGCAGAAUAGGAGGUUUUCUGUGAAUGGGUUUGAGGAGAGAACCAGAAGAAAGUGUGGGGGUCCAGAGCAGUUUGUUUUGCUUUCCGUGGGGAGAGAGUUGCCUGUGUUUAAAUAGCAGGGGUGGUCUCAGUAGAAGGCUCCUGGCAAGGUGGAAAGGUUGUGCCACUGCAUUAGAGAGGAGGCAGAUGUGAUUGCGGGCGUAUUUAAUUGCUAGUGUGCAGUGACUGUAGAAGGCUAGGCUUGUAUAAAAGUUACGGUCGGCUUACGGUUCACCUGUGGCCUGAACUGCCAUCUUUCUGUUGCUUUACUCAGUUCCUUCAAUUAAUGUAUUUGAGGUACUUGCCAAGGUAUGGUGAUAGAAGAGAGUCAGAGUCCAGGACACAGAGCAAAAACAUAAAAGGAUCAAAAAUACUACAGUUCUUUCUCCUGCUUUGGGCUGCAGGAUUUAGCCAGAGUAGUCUAGCUUCAUGAGUAUUUUUAGGGUGCUUGGAGAAAUGAAGUUAGGGUCUGUGAUAGUUUAUUUUGUUAGUUUUCUCUUAAAAAAUUUAUUUAAUGUGUUUGAGAGGCAAGAGGACUGGGAGAGGGAGCAAGAGAGCAAACGAGCGAGCAAGCAAGCAAGCGAGCAAGCUUCCAUUUGCUGGCUAAUUCCCCAAAUAGCUGUAACAGCCUAGGGCAGGAGCCAGGAGCUCAGUCUGGGUCUCCCGCAUCGGUGGCAGGGACCCAGAUCCUGGAGCCAUCACCUGCCACCUCCUUGGGAUGCACACUCACAGGAAGCUCCAGGAUGGGGCGCGUCGUCUUUAGUGUUGUCCCCACCCCUCCGCAGUUUCUCCUUUAGAAAUGAGCUCAGCGGUGCCUGCACUGAGUGAGUGCCCGCUUGAAUCUUCCUUGCUCUCGACAAUUUUACCCAUAAGCUACAAAGAAGACUAAUUCUUAGGGUGACCUCUUUUUCUUUUCUUUUAACUUAGACCAGUGUUAAUUUCUAUUCUGAUAGAUUCUAUUUAAAGGAAUUGAACCUUUUAUGAGGAAAAUUAUUCCUAAAUAAAGCAUUAAAAUUUAGCACAUGUUUGAACAUAGGUUUGACCUCAUGCUUAACAAAAGGAGGUUUUACUUGUAGUCGUAAAGCCCUUUGGCCAUGGCAUUAAUUGACUUUGGAAAUUAAUUUAAAAUGAGACUUCAUUACGCAGUGCAUCUGUAUUUUUUUUCUUCUUCUCUAAAUCCUUAGUGAAAUCAUAGGCUCCUCACUCAAAAUAUUCAAACUAUAUAGUGAAGUGUUAUUGUUGAAAAACUAUUAUUGGAUUAAAAAUGAGCAGUGCUCACUUUAAAGAAACAUUUUUCCUCUUGUGAUGGAUUUUUGCAGAGAAUUGUUAAUAAAAAUUCAUAGUCUACUAAAAAUACACUGGAACUUUUUUUUUUUUAAAGAUUUAUUUAUUUGUUUGAAAGGCAGAGGCAGAGAGAGAGAAAGAGAGGGAGAGAGGUCUUCCACCCACUGAUUCACUUCCCAAAAGGCCGAAAUGGCUGGAGCUGGGCUGAUCUGAAGCCAGGAGCUGGGACCUUCUUCCUUUUCUGUCACUCGGGUGCAGGGGCCCAAGGACUUGAGCUAUCCUCUGCUGCUUUCCCAGGUGCUUUAGCAGAGACUUGGAUUGGAAGUGGAACAGCCGGGACUUGAAGUGUUACACAUAUAUGUUGUCACACUGCAGGCCAGGGCUUUAACCACUGUGCCACAGCGCCAGCCCGAAGCUUGACCAAUGGAUUGCCCAAGCAGUUGAACUUGGUCUGCAGGUCUACUGAUUCUUUGUGACUCAAACCACCACCCUAAAUCACAUGGUUGGAUUUCCUGGCAUACCCUGAGGUAUAAUGUUACCAACCCCACCCUAAGCAAGGACUUUUCUCUUUCUUGCUCUCUUUUUGUUAAAGAUUUAUUUUAUUCAUUUGAAAGGAAGUUAGAGAGAGAGAGAGGGAAAGGUAGAGUGAGCGUGAUCUUCCAUCUGCUGGUUCAUUCCCCAAAUGACCCCAAUGGCCAGGGCUAGGCCAGGCUGAAGCCAGGAGCUGCAAGCAUCGUCUGAGUCUCCCGCAUGGGUGCAGGGGCCCAGGGACUUGGGCCAUCUUCUGUUUUCCCAGGCCGUAGCAGAGACCUGGAUUGGAAGUGGAGCAGCUGGGACACGAACUGGUGCUCACUGCAGACCAGGGCUUUAACCCUCUGCACCACAGCGCUGGCCCCUGAAAAUAUUUUGAAAGAAGCAGCAGUAUUUGUGGAUGGUUUAGAUAUGUGUAUGAGAAAAAGAAAGGAAGAAGUCCAAGGUACCUCUUAAGUCUCCGUUUAAGCAACUGAAAGGAUGGCAAUCUUAGUACUGAGACACUGGAAAGCCAACUGUCCAUCAUCAGAAUCAGAUGGCUCCCAGCUUUACCACUGACUAAGAAGAAAUCCUAUAAACCAGUCCUAUACUGACAGUUUACUGCAGCUCCUGAAAAGAAAAUCAUUCCUCGAGUUUCAGAUAACUUGACAAAAAGCCGUUGUAUUUUAUAACCCCCGUGUCAGGGCUCCAAAUGAACAAAAGACCAACUUAUGUGACGUUGUUCCUCAUGUGUCUAAAACUCAUUUAGCUAUUUCUGAUUACUUCCGAAUGGCAUGGUAGUAGAGUUUCUGUACCUAACAUUAUUCAACUUGUAUGAACCGUUCACAAUUUGGAAAUUCUUAUUCUGUGUGUUAUACAUGCUGCAUGCAUGAGUUAUGCCAUUUUUCUUUUCUAAUAGAGGCUCUAGUUUCUUCUUGCUCUCUGUUGACAAGGUGAGUGGGUAUUUUUUGGGUGAGCUCAGCUGUUCCUUUAGCUCAGUUUCUUCACUGAGUUGAACUGCGAAUGUUGGCACUAGUGAUGCUUCUCUGGGUAUUCUGAAAUCGUCUCACUGUAUUCCAGUUGUAAUACUAAGGAAUUAAACUCUUUCGAAGAGCAACACUGUUACUAUUUCUCUGCAUUGGUUCUGUGCUCCUAGUCAGGAUAACAAACCAUUUAUGCAACUGUCUGUAUCAGAAUGUCCUCUGCCAGCAUGUGUCUGGGCUGCUUUCAAGCCCCAGUAAUCCAGGACUGUUCUUGUUGAAUUAAUGGAAACUAGGACUGCUUAGGAAAGUAGGCAUCAUUGGGAAUUUGACUGGGUGAUACUUAUUUGCAAUAGUGGUUGAAAAGUAUAACUAGAAAAAGGGCUGGCGCCGCGGCUCACUAGGCUAAUCCUCUGCCUAGGGGCGCCGGCACACCGGGUUCUAGUCCCGGUCGGGGCGCCGGAUUCUGUCCCGGUUGCCCCUCUUCCAGGCCAGCUCUUUGCUGUGGCCAGGGAGUGCAGUGGAGGAUGGCCCAGGUGCUUGGGCCCUGCACCCCAUGGGAGACCAGGAAAAGCACCUGGCUCCUGGCUCCUGCCAUUGGAUCAGCGCGGUGCGCCGGCUGCUGCGGCCAUUGGAAGGUCAACCAACGGCAAAGGAAGACCUUUCUCUCUGUCUCUCUCUCUCUCACUGUCCACUCUGCCUGUUAAAAAAAAAAAGAAAAAAGAAAAAAAAAAAGUAUAACUAGAAAAAAAAAUACUCAAGCUAGUUGAGGAUCAAAUUGCUGUUUCUUGGCUUGUAUGUUAAUUCUCUGGCUUAAUUCCAUUCAUGUAUACAAAAGCAAGCAGAUUAGUGAAAUAAAGCUGUUAGAUGUUAUGAAGUUAAAAUAGAAUGAGAUUGAGAAUCUUUUUCCAAAAUCUGUAAUUAUUAGGAGAAAAAUUCAAUGACAGUUCUUAAGUUGCAAAAAAUCUUAUCCUAGUGGGAAUAAAUCAGUAAGUGGUGGAGCACAUUUACUUUUCCUCUCUUCCUCCCUUUAUCCUUCCUGUGAUUACACGUCAAGGUUCUAACCUUUAAUAAGCCCACUAAAUUAUUAUAUGACAUUAGCCUUAAGGUGUGUUCCCGGGGGCUGGCGCUGUGGCAAGUGGGUUAAUGCCCUGGCCUGAAGCGUCGGCAUCCUAUAUGGGCGCCGGUUUGAGACCCCGCUGCUCCAUUUCCCAUCCAACUCUCUGCUAUGGCCUGGGAUAGCAGUGGAGGAUGGCCCAACUCCUUGGGCCCCUGCACCCAUGUGGGAGACCCUGAGGAAGCUCCUGUCUCCUGGCUUUGGAUUGGCGCAGUUCUGGCCAUUGAGGCCAAUUGGGUGUGAACCAUGGGAUGGAAGACCUCUCUCACUCUCACUCUCACCCUAACUCUCACUCUCACUCUCACCCUAACUCUAUCUCUCCCUCUCCUCUCUCUCUCUAUAAUUCUGACUUUCAAAUAAAUAAAUAAAUCUUAAAAAAAUUGUGUGUGUCCUUGAAUGGCAUAGAUGAGGCUGACUGUGUAUGCCCAGAUAUUUUGGGGAAUCUGAGACCUCAGACUCUUCUCCAGAGAGCUUCCAGGAGACCCACUGUAGAUGAGCAAGAGCCUUCACAUCUCUUCAGAGAUGAUUCCUCCCAACCAAAGUCCCAAGGCUUAGGCCACUAAUUUAGUCUGGUACUUUUAACUGGACAAUUUUCUUUAAGGUCUUACUUGAAUUCUGUAUGUUUUACCAAAAGCUUUAUAUGCCCUUAAUUUAAAUAGAGGGGGACCUCUCUGUUUUUAUAGUAAGCUUAAUUACCAUGGUUUUCCUUUUUCCUGUGAUCAUCUUGAUCAUCAGACCAUCACUGUACUCAGCCUUCAGUUUAAUGUCAUUUUUUUUUUUAAAGAUUUUAUUUGUUUAUUUGAGAGGCAGAGUUACAAACAGUGAGAGGAAGAGACAGAGAGAAAGGUCUUCCAUCCAUUGGUUCACUCCCCAAUGUCCGCAACAGCCGGAGCUGUGCCUAUCUGAAGCCAGGAGCCAGGAGCUUCUUCUGGGUCUUCCACACGGGUGCAGAAGCCAAAGGACUUGAACCAUCUUCUACUGCUUUCCUGGGCCAUAGCAGAGAACUGGAUUGGAAGAGGAGCAGCCAGGACUAGAACUGGCACCCAUAUGGGAUGCUGGCACUGCAGGUAGAGGAUUAACCUGUGGUGCUAUGGCAUCGGCCCCGAUUGUCAUUCUUAGCAUAACCUGUUUUUUCCUUCCCUAGGAGCACUAACAAUGAUGCUGUUUGUUUUCCGAGUACCUCAAAUUGUAGUAGUAGUUCAGGUUUCUUUAUCAUUAUUUUUCUUGCUGGUGGGAACUAUUAGGAACUUCUAAAGCUUUUAAAGUGGGAGAACAUGUAAGGCAGAAUGAAAUGUGAAUGGCUGUAUUGAAAAGAGCAUGAGAAAAUACAAAACAUACUUGCUGAGAGAUUUCUAGUGGACCUUAGGUCUGGGUUUCUGAGAUGAGAGUUUAGGUUGGUUGGAUCCUCAGACCCUGUGCUUUCAGACUGCUAUAUUGCUUCUGCUAUCAGUGCUGUGUGGUUUAGGGAAGUGUCACAUCAUGUGUCCAUGAGUACAAGAUUAGGUCUUGAUCAUGAACCAAGAUUACAUACUUGCCACUUUUAACUGACCAAAUAGUAGUAAAUUAUGUUCAAGGUCUUUGCUUUUAUAAAGUUACCUGUAAAAAGAUAGUUUUCUAAAGUAACUAUAGCAUUUUGAGCCGGCGCCGUGGCUCAAUAGGCUAAUCCUCCACCUUGCGGCGCCGGCACACCGGGUUCUAGUCCCGGUUGGGGCGCCGGAUUCUGUCCCGGUUGCCCCUCUUCCAGGCCAGCUCUCUGCUAUGGCCAGGGAGUGCAGUGGAGGAUGGCCCAGGUGCUUGGGCCCUGCACCCCAUGGGAGACCAGGAAAAGCACCUGGAUCCUGGCUCCUGCCAUCGGAUCAGUGCGGUGCGCCGGCUGCAGCGGCGGCCAUUGGAGGGUGAUCCAACGGCAAAGGAAGACCUUUCUCUCUCUGUCUCUCUCUCUCACUGUCCACUCUGCCUGUCAAAAAAAAAAAAAAAAAAAAGUAACUAUAGCAUUUUGAUUUCAAAAUGCUAUAGAUUUUUUAUAUAUACAUACACCUUGCAAAAUGAGGUAGUGAUUGUAUUUCCAUUAGAAUACAUCAACUUGGGUUAAAAUUCAGUAAACAUGAUUUAAAAUUAGGAAAGAAAAUUGAGUAGAUAAUUUCUUGGUUGGUUGCUUUUAGUUAGUAGAAUUUUCAGCUUUUGUGUACUUUAGGGGGUAAAAAUUGUUUUUCAAAUAUCAUUGAGGGGCAAAAAGGAACUAGAAUAUCCUGAAGAGGUUAAAUAUAGACACAUUUUAAGGACUAUGCCUAUGCUUCAAAACAUUAUGAAAAAUUGUUGCUUUAUCUUUUGUGAAUAAAUCAUUUGUAAAAAACAAGGUCUAAGUACAUUUGAUUACAUGACAGAGUCCUCCCCAUGGGAAUUUGGUUACUUCUCUCCUUAUUCCACAUAUUUUUGGAAUAUCUAACUGCCUCAAAAAAAAAAAAAAAAAGGAGCUGGAUAGAAUGAUCUUUUAAAAUUCCUUCUAACCUUGCAAUCUUAUUAUUUUCCCCCUUUCCUUUUCUUCUUUCUACCUCCUUUAACCAUAAUAAAGAUGUGCAUUAUUCACUAAAUGGAAUUACUUCCCUUAAUUUAAAAUGGCAUUAGAAUGUCUCUCUCUCUCUAAAGAGAAUUAUUUAUUUGGAAGGCAGAGGCAGAGAGUGUCUUUCAUCGGCUGGUUCACUUGCCAGAUAGUCGCAACUGCCGGAGCUGGGCUGAUCUGAAGCCAGAACCCAGGAGCUUCUUCCAGGUCUCCCACGUGGGUGCAGGGGCCCAAGGACUUGGGCCAUCUUCCAUUGCUUUCCCAGGCCAUAGCAGAGAUCUGGAUCAGAAGUGGAAUAGUUGGGUCUUGAACCAGAGCCCAUGUGGAAUGCUGGCACUGCAGACAGUGGCCUUACCUGCUACGCCAUAGUGCUGGCCCCACCAAUUGUUUUCCUUCAAGAAAUAUUAUUAGUCUUUUAAUCUGAUAACCAAAACAAAUAUUCAAAUUUAUAGUCCUUAAUUAGGUUUGGCUGUCUUUUACUGUGUUUUGUGACUGCUUUUUUUUUUUUUAAAUAAAUGUUUUGUUUGUGUUUUCUCAUAUUUCUAAUUGUUUUAUGAGCCCUUUGCAUUUUAGAAAGGAAAACUUUUAUUUCUUGUAAUAUCAUAGAUUUUAUUCUACCUCAGUUUUCUUAUGACUUGAUUUAUGGAUUAGUAAUGCUAUGUGUGUUUUUUGCCCUCCAGAAGUUUAAGGCAUGUGUUUUUCUUUUUUAUGAUUUCUUUUUUAUUUUUUUAUUUUUUAUUUUUGACAGGCAGAGUGGACAGUGAAAGAGAGAGAGAGAAAGGUCUUCCUUUUGCCGUUGGAUCACCCUCCAAUGGCCGCCACGGCUGGAGUAUCGCACUGAUCCGAAGGCAGGAGCCAGGUGCUUCUCCUGGUCUCCCAUGCGGGUGCAGGGCCCAAGCACUUGGGCCAUCCUCCGCUGCACUCCCGGGCCAUAGCAGAGAGCUGGCCUGGAAGAGGGGCAACCGGGACAGAAUCCGGCGCCCCGACUGGGACUAGAACCCGGUGUGCCGGCGCCGCAAGGCGGAGGAUUAGCCUGUUGAGCCGUGGCACGGGCCAAGGCAUAUGUUUUUCAAUUAUUUGUUUCAUAUGUGGUUUCUGGAUUUGUUAUGUUUUAAAAUGUCUACCCCAUUUUAAAUUUAGAAAAGAGAAAUUUGGGGCCGGCGCUGUGGCACAACAGGUUAACUCCAUGGCCUGAUGCGCCAACAUCCUAUAUGGGCGCUGGUUCGAGACCUGGCUGCUCCACUUCCGAUCCAGCUCUCUGCUGUGGCCUGGGAAAGCAGUGGAGGAAUGCCCAACCUCUUGGGCUCCUGCACAUGCAUGGGAGACCCAGAAGAAGCUACUGACUCCUGGCUCUAGAUCAGCGCAGCUCUGGCCAUUGCGGCCAGUUGGGGAGUGAGACAGUGGAUGGAAGAUCUCUCUCUCUCUCUCUGCCUCUCCUCUGUGUAACUCUGAUUUUCAAAUAAAUAAGUAAAUCUUAAAAAAAAAAAAAGAGAGAAAUUCACCUGUUUUCUUCUGAUACACUGCUUCAUUUUCUAUAUUAUCUUUGACCCAAAUGGAAUUCAUGGAAUUUGUUUUUGUUUUAAGAAAUACAGUGUAGGAAUUUGCAUUCAAAGGAUAGAGCAUUCACCUGGCACCAUUUCUUACUGCUUAUGGAAUCAUAUAUAUGUAUGUUUAUAUAUUUAGCUAAUUAAUUUUGUUUGUACUUGUUUCUGAACUUUGUUCUUGCUGUUUUCUUAUUCCUUUCUCUCCCUUCAUUUUAUUUGAAAGGCAGAGAGAGAGAGAGAGAGAGAUCUCUUCUGUUUGCUGGGUCACUCUCCAAAUGCCCAUGACAGCCAAGGCUGAUCCUGGCCGAAGCCAGGAGCCCAGGAUUCAAUGUAGGUAGUCCCCAUGGGUGGCAGGGUCACAGAUAUUUGAACCGUCACCCUCUGUUUCCCAGGGUGCACACCCUCAAGAAGUCUGAUUGGAAGUGGAACUGGGCAAUCCAGUGUGUCCCAAGCAGCAUCUUAACUGCUGUGCACACACACACACACACACACCCUACACACGCACACACACCUACACACACACAAACCCUGCCAUCUGCUUAUUCUUAUACAGCUCCCUGCCAUUAAAAUCUUUAAAUUUUAUAUGACAGUAGAACAUACACAUACAAAUACACCAAUUUUAGCUUGGUGAAUUUGACAGUCCAAUGUAACCAGCAUCCAGAUUAAGAACUACAACCACAGAAAACACUCUGGGACCUUCAGUCACUAAAAUUCACCCUCCUCCCCUGCCCAGCCCAAGGGUAGCCACUGCUCAGAAUUUUACCUGUGUGUGCAUUUUGUAUGAUGGGGAUCAUGCCUUUUGAGAUUCAGUUAUGUUUCUCAUUGCUGUAUGUACAUACACUACUAAGUGAACGUGCACUUACCUGCUUGCUACACUUCUUAAUGAUUGCUUAAACACCUACCCCUGCUGGCAGCCUUUGGUGUUUUGUUGUUGUUUUGUUUUGUUUGUCCAUUUAUUCUCCCACUAGCAGUUUACUUCAUAUCCUUGCUGUUCUUUGUUUUACUUUACCUCUUCAGCUAGGUUUAUAAAAUGCCCAGCCAUGCUAGUGCACAGGUAUGUUUGAUUUGCUGUCUAGUGUAAGUUCCCCAGAACUUAUUAGUUUUGCUGUUCAUUCAUCAAGAGGAUCUUUAUAAUCAGUUAGAGGUUUAUAAAUACAUAUUGGGGUUUUUAUUUAGAAUUGUGUUAAACUUAGAUUGUAUUGGUGUGAACUGGCAACUUUGCAAAACUGAGCCUUCUAAUUCAGACAUGUUUUUUCAUUUAAUUUUAGGAUUUUAUAAAAUGUCCUAAAGUUAUAUGGCAUCUAAGUGGAUUCAGUGUUGUUUUGUGCCUUGAAAAAUGUGAAUAGGAUUUCUCCUUUUUAUGUUUUAAAUUGAAAUUGAGUGAAAAGCCUUAAAUGAAAUGAAAGGAAUGAAAGUCUUAAGUUGUGUUUUUCUUUAAUAUUCUGCUAGAUUGUUUCUGUUGGAUAUUAUUUUCAGUAUUCAUUGAUUUUCAUAAAUGAGAUUGACAUGUUUUUUUUGUGUGUGUCUUUCAUUUUUGAUGUUUUGUUAUUUUCCUUUGUGAGAGAAAUUGGCAAAUUGUCUUUGAUCUGCUCGCAGGAACAGUUCAGAUAGCUUUAGAAUGAUCUAUUUAUUGACAGUGUGAUGGCUACUGAAAUCAUUUGGACUUGUUGAAUUUUGGGAAUAUAGUUAUAUGCUUUCUCAAUUCUUUCUAAGAUGUUAUCCAUAUAGAUUUACUGGUUCUUGAGUCCAUUUUGUUUUGCUGACUUGUCUUUUAGAAAAUGUUUAAUAAUUUGGACUUCAUUGUCAGAUUUUUGAGCUUGAGUGAAGAGAAGUUUCUUACAAUUUUUAUUUGUUCUGUAUUUUUUUCAUUUUCAUUCUUAUGUAGUUAUGGUUUCUCCUGUUAAAUUUUGAGUAUGAUUUACAGGUUAUGUUGAAAUUUUAUCAUAUGCAGUCUUUGGAUUUUUUUAAAAAAUUUACUUUGUAUUUAUUUGAAAGGCACAGUUACAGAGAGAGAAGGAGAGACAGAGAGAUCUUUCAUCUGCUGGUUCACUCCCCAAAUGGCUGCAAUGGCUGGCGCUGUGCCAGGCCAAAACCAGGAGCCAGGAUCUUCUUGUGGGUCUCCCACAUGGGUGAAUGGGCCCAAGGGCUUGGACCAUCCACUGCUGCUUUCCCAAGCACAUUAGCAGGGAGCUGUAUCAGAAGUGGAGCAGCUGGGUCUUGAACCAACGCCCAUAUGGGAUGCUGGCAUCUCAGGCAAUGGCUUAACCCUCUGGGCCAAAACACCAGCCCCUGGACUUAUCAUUUCUACUAUUUGUGUGUGAGUUUUUGUUAACAUAAUUAUUAAUUUCUCUUCCCUUAUUUCCUAGAUUCAUUUAAUUUUUCUGACUUUUGAUUGCUUAUUCAUUAUUUUCUAUACUUACUUAUCUCUCUCAUGUUAUAGAUUUAGCAGUUAUCUGUACAUAUAAAAUAACAUAGCAGUUUCAUUUAUGAAAAUUGAUGAAUGUGCAAAUAAAAUAAUGUCCAACAGAAAGGAUCUAGUAGUAUUUUAAAGAAAUAGUACACCUUAUUUAGACUUUCAUUCCAGUUGAUAAAUAUGAUAGGGGUUUUGUUCUCAUUGUAAUUUUCUCUAUAAUCUAUAACUGUGUAUCUUAAUUUCUUCUUUGCCCAAAUGGUCAUUUAGGAAAGGCUAUUUUAAAUUCUAAUAGAUUGGAGAACUUUGUCUUUAGAAAUAUCCAGUUUUAUCGCCUUAUGAUUAGAACGUUUAAUCCUUUAAUAAUUAAUGAAGAUCUUUGUGGUCUAAUAUAUGUUCAGUUUUUGUGUACGGUUGUGAAUCCUUGAACAGAACUGUAAUUCUCCUCAUGAGGUAGAAUUAGUUGUUUGAGUGUGUACUUAUGUCCCAACUUAACAUUUUUGAUACUUUUAAUUUUUCCACUUGCUUCAUUAAGGCCUAAAAGUAGCCAUUUACAAUACUGACUGAUGUUUUUAUGACAGUUUUUCCUUUUGUUGUUACCGUUUUUACAUAUGUGUGUGUGUAAUUUUUUCACAGUUUGGUUGAGGUGUAAUUGAGAAGCUACCUACAUGGAAGCAUAAAAUUUGAUACAUUUUGGGUAUAUUUACAAAGCCACGGUCAGGUAUUCAGCAUCCCCAUCCACCUAUCUUAGUCAGCUUCAGGCUGUAGCAACAAAUUAUCUCGUAGUGACAAAAUACUACAGUCUGGAUGACUUAAACCAUAGGUACUUACCUCUCAUAGUUCAGGAUGCACGGUUAGAUCACAGGGAUGUCUUCUCUUGUCCUUAAGUGGUAGAGAUCUAUCUUCUUUCAAAGAGGGUUCUACCUAGUAACACCCCAAGGGCCACCUCCUAAUGUGUCACAUUGGCACUUGGGAUUUCAACAUCUGGAUUUGUAGAGGGGGAUGCAGACAUUCAGCACACAAGAGCUCACAUAUUUCCUGAUGUGCUUCUGCAAUCCCCUCCUUGUCAAUCCGCAUCCCCAGGCUGCCUUGGAUGUGCUCCAGUGUGGAUUAGUUCCGUUAUAGGUUAGUUUGCCGUCACUGGAAUUUUAUGUUAAUGGAAUUAUCCACUCUAUUCUUUUCUGAUUGAUUUUUUUUUUUUACUCAGCGUAAUUAUUUUCAGAUUCAGUCAUGUUGUAUGAUAUUAAUAGUUCAUUUCUUUGGCAACAGCAAUUUGUGUACCGUUUAUCCAUUAAGAUACUUGGGUUAUUUGCAAUUUGGGGCUACUACAAAUGAUAUGUUAUGAACAUUUGUGUACAGAUCUUUGUGUGGACAUGUUUUUAUUUUUCCUGGAUCAUUUGAUGGGUUGAGUCAGUCUUCUGGGGGUUCAACAUCUGUGAAUUCAACCAACCACAGAUCAAACAUAUUUGGAGAAAAAUUGCAUGUGAACUGAACAUGUACAGACUUUGUGCCUUCUCAUUCUGUAAACAAUGGAAUAUGACAGCUAUUUAUGUAGAAACCCAGGUAUGACCUGUUAGCCUGUCUAUAAGUGUAAUGAUAUCACUGUGAUUUUUAUUUCACAUUUUCCUAACACCUGUCCCAUCCUGCAUGUGGAAAUCCAAUUUUCCCAGCACCAUUUGUUGAAGAGACUGUCCUUGCUCCAGGGAUUGGUUUUAGCUCCUUGGUCAAACAUAAGUUGGUUGUUGAUGUUUGGAUUGAUUUCUGGUGAUUCCAUUCUUUUCCAUUGGUCUAUCUAUCUAUUUUUGUAUCAGUACCAGGCUGUUUUGAUUAUAACUGCCUGUAGUAUGUCUUCAUAUCUGUAAUUGUGAUACCUCCAGCUUUGUUUUUGUUGUAUAAGAUUGCUUUGGCUAUCUGAAGUCUCCUGUGUUUCCAUAUGAAUUUCGGCAUCAUUUUUUCCAGAUCUGAGAAGAAUGUCUUUGGUAUUUUGAUUGGUAUUGCAUUGGAUCUGUAAAUUGCUAUUGGAAGAAUGGACAUUUUGAUGAUAGUGAUCCUUCUAAUCCAUGAACAUGGAAGAUUUUUCCUUUUUUUUUUUUUUUGGUAUCUUCUUCUAUUUCAUUCUUCAAUGUUUUGGAAUUCUCCUUGUAGAGAUCUUUGACAUCCUUGGUUAAAUUUAUUCCAAGGUAUUUGAUUUUUUUUUUUUUAUAGCUAUUGUGAAUGGGAUAGAUCUUAGAAGUUCACUCUCAGCCUUGGCAUUGUCUGUGUAUAGAAAUGCUGUUGAUGUUUGUGUACUGAUUUUAUAUCCUGUUACUUUACCAAACUCUUCUAUGAGUUCCAAUAGUCUCUUGGUGGAAUCUUUUAGAUCCCCUAAAUAUAGAAUCAUGUCAUUUGCAGAUAGGGAUAGUUUGACUUCCUCCUUCGCAAUUUGUGUUCCUGUAAUUUCUUUUUCUUGCCUAAUGGCUCUAGCUAACACUUCAAGGACUAUAUUGAUAACAGUGGUGAGAGUAGGCAUCCUUGUCUGGUACCUGAUCUCAGUAGGAAUGCUUCCAACUUUUCCCCAUUGAAUAUGAUGCUGGCUGUGGGUUUGUCAUAAAUUGCCUUGAUUGUGUUGAGGAAUAUUCCUUCUAUACCCAAUUUGCUUAGAGUUUUCUCUGUAGCUAUUGAAAUAAUCAUAUGGUUUUUGUUCUUCAGUUUGUUAAUGUGAUAUAUCACAAUGGUUGAAUUGUGAAUGUUGAACCAUCCCUGCAUACCAGGCAUAAAUCCCACUUGGUCUGGGAGGAUGAUCUGAUGUGUUGUUGGAUUCUAUUGGCUAGAAUUUUGUUGAGGAUUUUUACAUCUGUGUUCAUCAGGGAAAUUGGUCUGUAAUUCUCUUUCUCUGUUGCAUCUUUUUCAGGUUUAGGAAUUAAGGUGAUGCUGGCUUCAUAGGAAGAAUUUAGGAAGAAUCCCUCCCUUUCAAUUGUUUUGAAUAGAAGAAUUGGAGUUAGUUCUUCUUUAAAUGCCUGGUAUAAUUCAGCUGUGAUGCCAUCCGGUCUUGGACUUGUUUUUGUUGGGCAGGCCUUUAUUACUGAUUCAAUUUCCUUCUUGGUUAUGGGUCUGUUUAGAUUUUCAAUUUAGGUAGGUUGUAUGUGUUCAGGAAUCUAUCCGUUUCUUCUAACUUUCCCAGUUUGUUGGUAUACAGCUGUUUGUAGUAAUUUCUAAUGAUUCUUUUUAUUUCUGUGCUAUCUGUUGUUACAUUUCCCUUUUCAUCUCUAAUUUCAUUGAUUUGGGUCUUCUGUUCGGUUAGUUGGGCCAGUGGUGUGUCUUUUUUUUUUUUUUUUUCAGAAAACCAGCUCUUCAUUUUGCCGAUUUUUGUAUUUUUGGAUUCAAUUUUGUUGAUUUCUUCUCUGCUUUUAGUUUUUCUUUUCUCCUAUUAGUUUUGGAUUUGGUUUGCUGUUGUUUUUCUAGAUCUUUGAGAUGCAUUGAUAGCUCAUUUAUUUGGUGCCUUUCCAAUUUCUUGAUGUAGGCACCUAUUGCCAUAAACUUUCCUCUUAAUACUGAUUUUGCUGUACCAUAUGUUUUGGUAUGUUGUAUUGUCAUCUUCAUUCGUUUCCAGGAAUUUUUUUAUUUCUUUUUUGAUUUCUUCUAUGACCCACUGUUCAUUCAGGAGCAUGUUGUUCAGUCUCCAUGUGUUUGCAUAUGUACUAGGGAUUCCUGUGUUGUUGAUUUUCAGCUUCGUUCCAUUGUGGUCCAAGAAGAUGCAUGGUACGAUUUUGAUUUUUUUGAAUUUGCUGAGACUUGCUUUAUGGCCUAGCAUGUGGUCAAUCCUAGAGCAAGUUCCAUGCACUGCUUAGAAGAAUGUUUAUUCUGCAACUGUAGGAUGAAAAGUUUUGUAGAUAUCUGUUAAGUCCAUUUGGUCUAUAGUGUCAGUUAACUCUGCUCUUUCCUUGUUGAUUUUCUGUCUGGUUGAUCUGUCCACUGAUGAAAGUGGGGUAUUGAAGUCCCCCAUUACUAUUGUUUUGGUGUCUGUGUUUCCCCUAGAUCCGUCAACAUUUCCUUUAAAUAGCUGGGUGCCCUGUAAUUAGGUGCAUAUACAUUUAUAAUAGUUACAUCUUCCUGUUGAAUACCCCAGGGUGUAUUCCUAGACCCUGUAAUUUACUUUUACCAAAACUUUUAAGCUCUGUUAAGUCCUUUCAUGUGUGGUCUCACUUGAGCCCUUUGACCCCUAAUUUUCUCAGGCUGCACUGUGGUAUAAUUCACCAUAUUCCUCUGUCCUCUUGUAUUGGUAUAUUAGCAGUUGAAUCCAGCACUUGAUCAUAUUUGGGUUUAAUUGUAUCUUGUAAUUUUUUUUUUUUUUUAACUCAAGGGACCUGUAAUGUCAAGUUCUCAUUAAUGUUCAAUGCCUAGAUUUAUUAUUCAUCCGGAUUGUAAGUGGUAUAUUUGAAUUGUCAUUUUGUCUUCAUUUAUUUAUUUUUUUUUUAAAGAUUUUAUUUAUUUAUUUGAAAGGUAGAGUUACAGAGGCAGGGGCAGAGAGAAAGAGAGACAGACAGAGAGGUUUUCCAUCUGCUGAUUCAUUCCCCAAAUGGGGGCAGCAGCUGGAUCUGGGAUGAUCUGAAGCCAGGAGCUUCUUCCGGAUCUCCCACAUGGGGACAGGGGCCGAAGCACACUUGGGCCAGGCACAUUAGCAGGGAGCUGGAUUGGACGUGGAGCAGCCAGGACCUGAACCAGUGCCCAUAUGGGAUGCCGGCACUGCAGGCGGCAGCUUAACCCGCUACUCCACAGCGCCAGCCCCUUGUCUUCAUUUAUUAACUGCAGUGGUUUUAUAAAAAGAUGCUCAUCUUCAUUUACUGUUUGGUUGUUGAAAUUAUUUGCAGACGUCUGGAUAAAUACUUGACUCUUUCCUUUUAUUUAUACUGUUUUCAAUGGAUUCCCUGUCAUCGUCAGAAGAUGGUAAGUUAGAUUCUUUUUCUGAAUCUCUGUGAUCUCAGGGAUUUCAGCGUAGUUGAUGGGUCCCAAUCCAUUGCUGUUUUCAUCCUCAUGGAAGCUCACAUUGUGCUAUCACUGACCAACAGAAGCCUCAUAACCUGGCUCCAGAAUACUAUUGAUCCGGCCUGAGAAGGCCUUGAUAGCUUUUUUUCUGUUUAGUAUGUCCAGAUGUUUCAUGUUCAUCUUUUACCUUUCUUGCCCAGGCCCUGAAUUAAUCAUUUUAUUCCACAAAUCCCUGGUUUAAUUUCAUUGGAGGGGAUGUUUCAUUAUAGGCAGAUGUUGGAUGCUCAUUAGUAUUAUGUUGAUCAUUGUUUCUGGGCCUUCCAAAUGGACAGAAGUAGAAUGCAGGUACAUGUGUAAAUUAAAAAAAUAAAAUAUUGGGGUGGGCCUUGUGGUGCAGAGGUUAAGCAGUGGUUUAGGAUGCCCAGAUCCAUAUCAAAAUGCCUGUUUGAGCGCUGGCUAUUCCACUUCUGAUCCAGGUUCCUGCUAAUGCUCACCCCAGGAAGCAGCAGAUGAUGGCUUAAGUUCUUGAGUCCCUGACACCCAUGUAGGAGACCCAGAUGGAAUUUCUUGGUCCUGGCUUUGGUCUGACCCAGUUAUGACUUUUCUGGACAUUUGGGGAAUGAACCAGUGGAUGGCAAAACUCUCUUUCUACUUCUCUGUUGUUCUGCCUUUCAAAUAAAUAAUAACUUAAAUAUUUUGAGUUCAUACUGAUACUUUCAAUUAAAAUUCCAAAUUCUGUAUUUUAUCUUUACUUUUUGUUGAAAUACAUAAUAGAGAAAUGCACAGAUCUUCAGUGUCCAGCUUGGUGAACUUUGACCAAGUAAUAGUUUGGUUAACACCCAUAUAACCAGCUCCUAGAUCAGGAAUCAGAACUUCACAGUACCCAGACCCCAUCAAGCCCUUCUCCACCCCACCAGGUAAUUCCUGUCUUGCUUUUUAAGAUCAUAGAUUGCUAAGACAGAACAUCUUUUUGAGAGCGUGACUGAGAUCACCAGUUGAGGGCUGAGGGGGAGGCAGGCUCCAACCGAGUGAUGAAGUUUUAUAUGGUAGGUUGUGAUUGGAGAGAGCUGUAGAAUGCCUGUCACCUUCCCAUGUUCCCCUAGUGAAAUAGGCCACUGGAGCCUGGCACUGAGCCGGGAGAGUAUGGACUUCAAGCCCCAGUGUGUCUGAUUUUUCUGGGAAAGUCAUCUACCCUCUACUCAUAUCUAUUAUGUAUUAUAUUUCUGUUUUCUUUCUUGCACACUGAGAAUCCUGGUUUCUCAGCUUCACGUGGUAAUCACAAGAUAGCUUGGGCUGGUUUUUUGUUUUUUUGUUUUUUUUUUUUUAAAGAUUUAUUUAUUUGAAAGAAUUACACAGAGAAAGGAGAGGUAGAGAGAGGUCUUUUAUCCCAUGGUUCACUCCCCAAAUUGGCUGCAACGACUGGAGCUGCACCCAUCUGAAGCCAGGAGCCAGGAGCUUCUUCUGGGUGUAGUGGCCCAAGGACUUGGGCCAUCUUCCACUGCUGUCUCAGGCCAUAGCAGAGAGCUGGAUCGGAAGUGGAGCAGCCGGGAAUCAAACUGGCACCCAUAUGGCAUGCCAGCGCUUUAGGCCAAGAUAUUAACCUGCUGUGCCACAGCACCGGCCUAGCUUGGGCUAUUCUAACAAAUACUACAGACUGAGUGCUUAAACAACAGAUAGUUAUUUCUGCAGUUCUAGAGGCUGGGAAAUCCAAGAUCAAGGUGCUGGCUGAUUGACCAUUGUUUCUGGGCCUUCCUGGUGGCUGGAACCAGAUGUAUGUGUAUAAAAAUAAAAUGCAGUUCCUGGUGAGGGCCUGCUUCAGGUUUGCAGUUGGUCCCUUCCCCAUUUGGGGAAUAUAGAGACAGAACAAGCCUUCUGGUCUCAUGCCAUUGUGGGAGCUACACUUGGGGCCUCACUGAUAGCUAAUUUCUUCCAAUGGUCUACCUCCCAAUAUUAUCACAUUGGGGUUUAGAUUUCGAAAUAAGAAUUUUGGAAGGACCCAAAACAUUCAGUGCCUAAUACAUGGGAUGAUAGAAUAUCAUGUAAUUUACCCAUUUACUUUGUCUCACAGCACACAUAGGAAGUCUGAAUAACAGCCCUAAUAUUAAUUUUAAUACCACCAAUUAUGACUGCUGAAUACAGUUAACUUUUUUUUACGUAUGUUCUCUCUACUUUUUUUUUUAACUUUUCACAGUUCUACCAUGUUAACAUAUCAUACAAUCAUUAUAUCUAUAAUCUCUUCUUUUUUUCAAAAUUUUAAUUAUUGAAAGGCAGAGUGAUAAGAGGGAAUGGGGAGGCAGGAGGCACCUUCCCUCCAUCGGUUCACCCAGCAAAUGGCUGCAGUGGUUGGGGCUGGUCCAGGCUACAGCAGGGAGCCUGGCCCUCCAUUCGAGUCCUCCACCUGAGUGCUUUUCCAGGCCACUGCCAGGGCGCUGGAUUGGAAGCAGAGCAGUGGGGUUGAAUCUGUGCUCUGAUGUGGAAUGCUGGUGUUGCAGGCGGCGGCUUAAUCCGUUGUUCCACACCACUUGCCCCAGUCUCUCAGCUCUCAUUUUAUCUUAGUUUUGCAAAUUACUCUGUGAUUUAUGCUCUUAUUGUAUUUGUCUCUAUAGUCAUUUUGGUUUUCUGAAGCGUAUUCUUUAGGAGAUCCCUCAGGAAGGACUCUAGAAAACAUUUCUUGAGCUCUUGGAGCGUUGAUAGAUAUCCCUUGAUAGCCGAAGGUCACUUUUGCUGGAUAUAAAAUUGUUGACUUGCAUUUUCUUAAAUAGGUUUCUUUGCUUGCUUCUGAAAUAAAAUAUUGCUGGCAAAGUCCAGUGAUAAUUUUACUCUUCUAAGUUAUGUGGUCUUUUUGCAUAGAAGCCCAAAGGGCUUUUUCUAUAAAGUCUGGUACAGUUUUUGGGCUUUUAGCAAAUAGCUAAAUCUGAUCAUUUUUUAUUUCAUGAAAAUUUUCUUAAAUUACAGUUUCAGCAUUUAUUCUGCACCAUCACUUUGAGACUCCUUUUGUGUGUGUUGAAUCGUUCUUGGCUAUUGUAACUAUUUAUUCCUUUUACACAUUUUGUUGCUUCUUAUUUUUUAUCUAGUCUUCAUUUCAAAAAUGACUUUUUCUUUUACUUGCAUUGUUUCCUUAAGCUUUAUCACUCUUUUCUGUUUUCUUUUUGGAAAAUUCAUCAUGUUCUUACAUGCUUUGUGUCAUUUUGACAUCUUUCACCUCAUUUUCAAAUUGUAUUUUUUUUCAGGGAGGAAUAUGCUUUCAUGUAGGAAUAUCUGCAAUCCAGAUCUUUCCUCCCUGGCCCCAUCACAACUGAAUCUCACACAAAGAUUCAGCUUCAGUACUUUUUAUGGCCUAUUUUUUAUUUGGAAUCAGUUUUCUUCAACCCUUGAAGGAGGCUUGGAUUAUAUAGUUUGUGUUUUACUUUUUAGAGCUCCUCUUGUGGGUUUUGAGCAGACAGCUUACUUCCUCCAUUUCCUGCUUCUCAUCUCCCAGUUUUCUCUCAAUGUUUUCUUUCCUUCCUCUCUGUUGUCCCUGUUUUGCUCAACUUUGAUUCGUGGAAGAGAUGGGGAGGCCAGCGGGUGGGUUCCCAGAGUGGGUGCUGGCCCCUCAGGCCCGCGGUGUCUGUUCUGUGGAGUGGGCCACACCAGUGCAGCCACUUCUCUGAAUGUGCUGAGUUGUGCCAUACAAGGAGGACCUGUGGCUGCUGUGGGUUCUGCUGUCCUGAAGCCCUCAGCCAAGGUGGCUGUGGGGUUGUCCCUCCCUACUUGUCCUAUGGAGUGUAGGAUUUUGGUCUCUUGUUGGAAAUUGUGUAGGUGAGUUUUUGGAUUCACUACCUAGUCUGCUUUUAUAUUUUAUUUAGAGAAAAUUAUAACUUUCUGUACAGAAAAGUGAAGAAAUUUUAUCUUAUUUUCACAAAGAAGAAAAUCUGGUUUUAUAAAAUAACAGUCUUGUCAUGAGGCAUAGAGGGUAGAAUUUAUUAAAGCUUUACAAUUUGCAUUUAACUAAAGGUUAAUGGUUUUAUUGUGAAAUUACCAAAGAGGGGUUAGAGAACUAAUUGCUUUUAUUAGUCACUAACAAAUAACUGAAAAUUAUCUACAAAGUGGCAAGUGGUAACUAUAUAUUAGCAUGUUACUGAGAAGUUCAUCUUAGUGGUUGGUUUUUUAUUAUCUACUAAUUAAGUGGUUCAGAUACUUUAGAGUUUAAAAAUGUGUCUGAAACAUGUUAUUUGUUUUACAUAGUUUUGUCUAUUUAGAUUUAUUUAGAGAAUAUAGCACACUUGAAAUAAAAUUAGCCAUGUUGUGAAAAUGCAGAGAAAAACUGGGAAUUUGAUUGUUCUUUCUGCUCUACGAAUAGUACCCUCACUGCUUUCAUUCACUUGAAGACCACUUUAGUUGUAGGAAUAUUUUGAGUUUUUUAAAAAAUGGGUUUUCUCCUUUGUUUGCAAAGAAUGGAGGAGGGCCCUGGAAGGAAGCUUCUCAAUGCCUUCUCAGCCUAUUUAUGUCAGUGAGACUCUGAAAUCCCAUGCAGAAUGGAGAACUACUGAAGGCAGGCCACCUGAGAGCCCAUGGUAUAGCUGAGACACUAAGCCAUUCCAUCCAUUGAGUACCAGUUUGGGUACCUACCUGUUGAGUGAUAACUGUUAGUUGAAAUUGACUUGUAAAGGGUAUUUAUGUUUUCUUAUAUUCGGUGCCUACCAGUGUCCUUUUCUUCAAAAAUAUACUCUAACUUCCAGUUGUUAGACUGCUGGGAGAAGAUGGUGGGAGAGCUUUGUCAUCCACUGACGGUUCACCAUGAGACAUAACACGAGUCACUGUUGAAGUGCCUUCAGGAUCUCCUUAGGAUGCUUGCAUUUAUAAAAUUCUUCUGGAAUUGAUGUUAAGGGUACAGUCUUCACAGGUGUUCAUUACAUGUAGUCAGUAAUUGUGGUUGAGGCCCACAUUCUCCCUAAGAAUGUUGUUUGCAUUGUAUGCAGUGACCAAAGAACCUCAUCUUGUUCCUCUUCCAACCUCAAAAGUGGAAGAAGUUGCUGCCUCCUUUAGUCAGCACAUUAGAAUGGACAGGCUUAUUAAGUUUACUGUGGGUUGAGGGUGUGUGUUAAGAAAUAGGGUUUUUAGGGCCAGCGUUGUGGUGCAGCAGGCACCCUGUUUGCGAGUGCCUAGAGUGCUGCUUCUGCUUCCCAUCCAGCUUCCUGCUAACACACCUGGGAGCAGCAGAUGCUGGCCCAGGUACUUGGGUCCUUCCACGUAUGGGAAAGCUGAUCGGAGUUCCUAGCUCCUGGCUUAGCCCAGCUCUGGCUUUUGAAGGCAUUUGUUAACUUCCCAGGUGGAAGAUCUGUCUCAUAUUCAUAUGCAUAUUUAUUUACUUAUUUAUUUAUAUAUUUUUUACUCUGCCUUUCACAAUUAAAUUAAAAAGGAAAAACAAAUAGAAUUUUGGACUUAAGUCUUUUUCAUUAGUUUAUUUAAUAUGUUAGCAUUUUUCCUGUAUUUCCUUGUUGAAGAUCUUGAAAUUCUGGUAUAAUGAAGAAAUCCUGAGUUUUAAGUGGGGGAGCCAGAGAGAAAAAGACUGGAGAGGGGAUUCCAAGUGAACUUCCUUAUUUUAUCUCAGUCUCCCAGUGGCUUCAGCAGAGGCUCUCUGCUGCCUGUGCUUCCUGCGUGCAUUGCUGACUUUGUGGAACCGUGUGUUUCCCUUCAUUUUGUCUCUUUAGUCCAUUUGUUCUAAGCAGCCCUUCUUCCUGCACUCUAUGGGGGUGCCAGAGAUAGAGUAGUGUCUGUUGGGGUAGUGGAAAGCCUAGUUUCGGAACCGACUUUGAUGAAGCCUUUGAAGAUGUACACGAUGGGGGCCACGUUGUGUUUUAGUGGGUAAAGCCACCGCCUGCAAUGCCUGUGCCCCAUAUGGUUGCCUGUUCCAGUCCCAGCUGCUCCAUUUCCAACCCAGCUCCCUGCUAAUGUGCCUGGGAAAGCAGUGGAGGGUGGCCCAAGCUCUUGGGCCCCUGAAUCCAUAUAGGAGACCUGGAAGGAGCUCCUGGCUCCUGGCUUUGGCCUGGCCAAGCCCUCUCUGGCUGUUGUAGCCAUUUUGGGAGUGAACCAGCAGAUGGGAGAUCCAUCUCUCUCCCUCUCUCCGUCCCUCUCCCUGUAACUCUGCCUUUCAAAUACGUAAAAUAAAUCUUAAAAAAAAAUGUGGCCAAUGCCAUCCAAGUUUGAGAGAGAAUUCCUCCUAACUGAUCUGGCUGAAGUGAAUGAAGAAAUAAUUCUAUGUUCCUUGACUCCUCUGUAUUUUCACAAUCAUUUCUUUUUUUCUUCCUUUUUUUUUUUUUUUUUUUUUGACAGGCAGAGUGGAUAGUGAGAGAGAGAGACAGAGAGAAAGGUCUUCCUUUGCCAUUGGUUCACCCUCCAAUGGCCGCCGUGGCACUGCGCUGAUCCGAUGGCAGGAGCCAGGCACUUCUCCUGGUCUCCCAUGGGGUGCAGGGCCCAAGGACUUGGGCCAUCCUCCACUGCACUCCCGGGCCAUAGCAGAGAGCUGGCCUGGAAGAGGGGCAACCGGGACAGAAUCCGGCGCCCCAACCGGGACUAGAACCUGGUGUGCCGGCGCCGCAAGGGGAGGAUUAGCCUAGUGAGCCACGGCGCCGGCCCACAAUCAUUUCUUUUCUCUCUUGUGAGCUAGUGUAUUGGUUUCUUGAGGGAAUGAAAACUUAGAGCACAAAGUGAGUAGACGUAUCCAGAAUUUGUCUCCCACACUUCCCUCUCUGCAGACAGUCCUCUAAAGCUCCACACAGCAGCAGGACGGCCCUUCUGUGCGGCCUGCAGCCAUGUCUGCUAGCAGGACCACAGACCCGCUGGACGGAGCUGGCAGCAAGGCUGACCAUGCAUGUCCUGGUGUCAGAAAUAGCAGAAGAAAGUGAGGACAGUGAAUAAAUCCUCACCUUUUUUUUUUUUUUUCACAACUUUCACUCAUAGUUGUAUGUCUACUACAAUGUGUUAUCUUCCUUUUUUUCACUUUAAGCAUGAGCACUUAGUAGUAGCUUAUUUAAAUGGUGCUUUUUUGUUUUGUUUUAUAAGAAUCCAUGAGGUCCUUGUAGGAAAUUUAGACAAUUAUAAUUAGACACCAAGGGAAAGAAAUGACGAGACCCACAAUCACAUUGUGCAUGAAUGUUCCCUGUGUGGAUGGCUCAGUUCAGGCUGUACAUAAGUGCUGUAGCCUGGGUGGCUUAAACAACGAAAAUGUAUUCUGUACACUUCUGAAGGCUGGAAAGUCCAAGAUUUGGUUCCUGGCGAGGGCCUCUUGCUGGGUGGCAGACAUCUUGCUGUCUUCACAGGGCCUCUUGUCUCUAUGUAAAGGGCACUGAACCUCCUCUGGGGGCUUCCAUCCUCAUGGUCUGCUUAACUCCAAAGACCCCAGCUCCAGAUACCAUCACAAUGAGAGUUAGGGCUUCCACGUGAAUUUUGAGUGGACACAAACUUUCAGAUCAGAGCAAUGGGCUAAGGUUUAAUGGAAGAAGUCAUCCUUUAAGUCCCAUACAUAAAUCUUUAUUUUUUUCUCUCCUUUAAAAAAGAUCCUUUUUCAUUGGCUGUCAUAUACUUUUCACAGUGGGAGACAAGGCUGCACCAGUUUUUAUAUUCCAAGAAGAAGCAAAAUUGCUGUUAUUUGUAAGAUGCUGUCCAUUAUAAGAAAUACUCCAGUUCUGUAGGUGAAAGAUUAUGUCUUAAGAUUGCUGAAAUACUGGUAAUCUUGGACUAUAUAAGUAAUACAUUAAUCAGUUUCCUAAAUUAUGUUUUUUAAGAUUUAUUUUCUCAUUUAUUUGAAAGAGUUAGAGAGAGAAAGAGAGAGAGGGGUCUUCCAUCUGCUGGUUCAAUCCCCAGUUGGAUGCAAUGGCCGGAGCUGUGUCGAUCCAGAGCCAGGAGCUUCUUCCGGGUCUCCCAUGUGGGUGCAGGGGUCCAAGGACCUGGGCCAUUCUUCUAUUGUUUCCCCAGGCCAUAUCAUAGACCUGAAUUGGAAGUGACGCAUCUGGGUCUUAAACCAGUGCCCAUGUGGGAUGCUGGCACUACAGGCAGUGGCUUAACCAGCUACGCCACAGCACUGGCCCCUCCUAAGUUAUUUUUAUUAUAAUUUUUGACUUUUGGAUUUAAGAAAGAUUUCUCCUGUUUUAGAAUAUAUUUUUCUGUAUUUUUGUCUAGAAAAUUUUUAUGAUAAGUAAAAAAUACAUUAAUGUGUACAUUUUAAAAAGUAUUUAUUUAUUCGAAAGAGUUAACACAGAGGGAAGGAGAGGCAGAGAGAGAGAGAGAAAGAGAGGUCUUCCAUCUGCUGGUUCACUCCCCAAUUGGCUGCAACGGCUAGAGCUGUGCCGAUCUGAAGCCAGGAACCUGGAGCUUCUGGGUGCCCCACAUGGGUGCACUUGGGCCAUCUACUGCUUUCCCAGGCCACAGCAGAGAGCUGGAUCAGAAGUGGAGCAGCCAGGAUGUGAACUGGCGCCCAUAUGGGAUGCUGACAUUGCAAGUGGUGGCUUUAUCCACUAUGCCACAGCACCAGUUCCAAUGUGUACUUUCUUAAGCAAACGAUCAAACAAUGUUUGUAGCCAGCAUUUUCAUUUUAUUGGUAUAAUGGCGAUACCUUUCUGAAUCGUUAGGUCUCAUUCCGCAAUGUAAUUUUUCAUGACUGUAUAGCAUUUUAUUGUGUUUGAACUGCAGUUUAAUUAGCUGAUCUGUUAUUCAUUGCUUAAGUCUUUUCUAAUUUUUGCUAUUAUAAAUAACACCAUAGCAGACAUUCUUGUGACUAUGGUUUUAGUUUACCCAAGAUUAUUUCCCUGGCUAAUUUUUGUUGGGGCUGUGUGUGUGUGUGUGUGUGUGUGUGUGUAUGUGUAAAAUAACCUUCAUAAAAGGUCGUACCAAUUUAUAUUCCCAUUCAGUAAAAAGGAUCAUGCAGUCUUCUUUAAUGUAAAAAUUUUCCAGGCAUGUGUUUUCUGUGUUUCAAUUCCAUGAGACUCUUUAAUAAUAAUGACAAUGCUAGGUGACAUCUUAUUCUGCACAUUCAUGUAACAUUUAAUGAGUGCCUACCAUUGUGCCUAGGGUACAGAAAUAAGUGCCGUAGAGUCAUAGGGCAUGCAGUAUUUUCCUUGUAGUAGUCACUGCCAACAUGGCCAGAACUGAAUGAGGCUACCCCUUUCUCUACAUCCACACUUGUAUUUAUUACUUUCAGAUGUCUUAACUUUCCCUCAUGUUGGCCAAAAUUACGUAAGACACAAACCCUUGUUCUCCAGGCCCUUAAGGUCUUGGGGAUUGAGUGUGGAAAAGGGAAUUAUCAAGUAGAUAAACAGUAACACACAUGGUGAUCAGUUCUAUUAAAGAGGGAUGAAAAAGGUGCUUAGGCAAACACAGGAGGAGAGGGCAUUAUGGGUGGUAGACAAAGAAAGCAUCGUAAGGUGCUCUGCCAUUUCGAAUGCUGAGUGCUGGAGUUGUUCCCCUGGAGCAGGAUCCAGGUGAGUGGUGAUGAAGGACUUUCCGACAGAACAGCUCUAUGUGCUAAGGCUUUAAGGGAAGCACAAGCGAUUUGAGGGUGUGGUUAGUGGUGGAAGCUCAGACCAGAAAGAUGAGAGACCAGGUCAUGAAAGGGAUCAUGGGGAAAGUCUUAGGUUUUAAAAUAGUCACUGCCAGGUGUUAAAAUAGAUGAUAUGGGGGCCGGUGCUGUGGCGUAACGGGUAAAGCCACUGCCUUCAGUGCUGGCAUCCCAUAUGAGUGCUGGUUCGAGGCCUGGCUGCUCCACUUCCAAUCCAGCUCUCUGCUAUGGCCUAGGAAAGCAGUAGAAGGUGGCCCAAGUCUUUGAGCCCCUGCACACCCGCAUGGGAGACCCGGAAGAAGCUCCUGGCUCCUGGCUUCGGAUUGGCGCAGCUCCAGCCAUUGCAGCCAAUUGGGGGGAGUGAACCAGUGGAUGGAAGACCUCUCUCUCUCUGCCUCUCCUCCUCUCUCUGUGUAACUGACUUUCAAGUAAAUAAAUAAAUCUUGAAAAAUAGAUGAUAUGAUCCGAUUAACUCUGUGAUAUAAUGGAAGGCAUAGAGUUAAUUAUGGUUUGGGUGCGGGAUAAAGCUAAGACGUGACAUUUCCUCAGGAAAUGCAGAGGGUUUUGGGUGUAGGUGUUUCAACUGCCUCCUUGUCCCCAAGCCCUGCCAGUUUGUGUUUCCUAGUAAAGGUAGAUCCAUCUUCAGGCACACAGUUCUUUGCUGUACUAGCUUAUACUGUGUUACCAUUUAUUCCUUUUUAAACCUCCGUGGAGAGUGUAUAUUCGGAGAAAAACACCAUUCCCUCCAGCUCAGUGUCCACUCCGCACAGUCUUUCUUGUUCAAGAAAAAUUGAGAUCCUCAUAACUUUUGCCCCACUCCUGUAGGCAGAUCCUAAGGAUAUUGUUCACACACUUGGCCCAAGCAUCCUCUGGGUUAGGUCCAGCAUACAGAAUGAUUUAUUGCUCUAAUCCACUCCCAGCUUGCCUCUCACAAAGACGUGUCCUGUAUGAAGUCAGCAACAAAUGUUUAGAGAUCUUUGAAAGUGUAAUUCUGACUGUUACAAGUAGAGCAGUGACAACACUUUAAUUCUAAUGCCUAAAAGCAGUAAAGCUUUUAAUAAAUGUGCAUUUCAAUUUUAGUUCCUGGAACCCAUUUGCACCCUCUUUGUGUGCUUGUAUUUAUUUAGAGCCAACUAUAUUCAUGUUUGCCUUGGAGUGUAACUUGCAGCUCAGGAUUUCUCCUCACUCUAACAUUAGACAGUAAAUGAAUUUCUUGUCCUCAUUUUUCUCACAGAAGUUUUUGAAAUAAAAAAUGGGAUAAAUUUACUUCCAACUUCUUAAACUCUCAUCUCUGUAGUCUUACUUGAGAAAUAUUUUUUGCCCUCAGGCAAUUUCUGGCAAUUCCAUUGGAAGAAUUUUUUUCCCUUUGCAUGUGUGAAAAUAUUAUAGGUGGGAAGAAAUAUAUCAUCAUUAUCAUAAUACAAAGGUCUCUAAGAAAGGCUAAAACCAGUACGAAGACAGUGAAGUUGAAGGUCAGCUGGGUCCCAGGUAUGAGAGAGGUUAAGUAAGGUUUGUUUUAGGCUUGGUUGAGAGGGAACCAGAGCAUACUGCAGAAUGCUGUUGCCUUGGACAAGAGCUCUUCACCUACCACCUCUGACAACAAUGCACUUGCUUUGACUUUGGGAACUUGUGAUGUCUCUAAUUGUCCUUUGAUUUUGUCCUUUGAAGAUCAUUGCUUUUCACAGUGAGCUCCUGGCAUUGGAAUAUACACAGGAUCUCUGGAGGAAGUUUGAGAUCUACUGCAUUAGAACAUAGAAUACAGAAAAAAUAUGGUCCUUUGGUCACUAGCAGUAGGGAGAUUACAUUUCUCUAUAUUACAGAGUAGCAAACCACACUGGCUUGUUAGGAGAGGAGAACUGUGGCUAACAGGCAAGAAUGGAAGGAAGGCAUUUCCCUGUUGCCCUUGUUUACCUUUUGAAUUUUAUGCUAUUAAAACAUCCAAGGAAUUUUUUAAAAAUUUGGUGCACUUAAACCAUGAGAUUUAACUAUAUUUCUAAGGAAUUCUAAGGAUUUUCCCUUCAGUAUUAUAGACUUAAAGGAAAAACUAAAGAAAAUGAUUUUCCAUUAUGACUUCUAUUUUAAUUACCACUCUCUUUCUUGUAUCUUACAUCCCUCAAGUAACUUUCUGUUCCUAAAUUCACACAUACGUUUCCACAUAGAAAUCUAAAGAGGGGCAUAAAGCAGAUUAAGAACCUUAGGGGGAAAACUUUAAAAAGUACAGUUGAACGGUCUGACAAGGCCAGGAGCUGUGAAACUAUGGAAAAUGAAAGACGCUUGCUGUGAGGAACCAGAGUGAAUAAAUACUGGAUUCAGUACUGUGUCAAGUCUUGCAAUGUCUUCUCACUGAAAUUAUAGCAAUGAACGGGGAUUACCACAGCAAGAAAAGAAGACCCGUGGGACAGAGUCUCAAACAGGGUACUCGGCUGUGUAACUAGCUUCCCUCCCUCCCUCCCUGUGUGUACUUACAUUGUAUGUGAUGUCACAGCAUCAGUUGUAUUCUGAGAAUUCAAGUAGUGUGGGUAGAGAGUCCACUAUUUGGGAACACAUUUGCUGCCCACAGUUAAUGAUAACGUUGCAGCAGGUAAGUGCAGUGUGUUGUAAGGACUGGGGUUCUGAUGUGUGGGUGAGUGUGCUGGGUAUCCCGUGGCUUGUGGUGGAAGAUCCACAAUUUGUACCUUACUCUGAGGGAGAUAGAAGUUUCCCAGUGAUCCACCUGUAGGCAGAGCAGAUUUAGGCCAGAGUAGCUCCCAAGUGGCCUUUGGUGUCGUAACCAGUGAGAGGUUUUGUUUGUUUGUUUUUAAAGUAGGUAUGAGAAGGCCCCGUCAUAGCCAUGGUGGGUAGCCCCCAGUCACUUAUCCUAAGGGAGUCUGGAGACCACAGCCCUUGGGUUCAGACUUUGAAUGAACCCAUGAUUUAUGCCCUUGAUCUUGAUUAAUCCAAGGAGGGUGGAUGGGGGGGGCACUGGGAGGAGAGAAGAAAAGAAACUUGAGUUCCCUUUUAGAGACCCUCCUCCCCACCCCCCGCCCCUCCUGCUCCCUUGUUUUUGAUGGAGAUGCCUGUAAGACACUUGUGUCUUAGAAAACGCAAAGCCUUAAGCUUGGAUCUUAACCAGGAAGCAAAGAGGAACUGCAUUCUAACUAUUAAGUGUGUAUCAUUUUGUUCGGAUCAGUGCGGUGUGCUGGCCGCAGUGGCCAUUGGCGGGUGAAGCAAUGGAAAAGGAAGACCUUUCUCUCUGUCUCUCUCUCUCUCUCACUGUCCACUCUGCCUGUCAAAAAAAGAAAAGAAAAAAAAAAUUACUGUAAACUGAGAGCAGUUUGACAACUACCAAAUUGAUAAAUAAAGUCAAAUAAACUCACCCCAGUAGUUUUCUUGUAAUGCUAAGUUCUGUCUAAUUCUAGAACUCUAGAAAUGAAGAAGACCUGCUUAUCUUUCUAGAAGUGCAUGUGUUGAAUAAGGUUAUUUUUCUCUGGCUUUGGGAAUUAAUUUUAGUCCUUUAAGACCAGACUUUAGGGACCACAUACUUGGACCAGCUCAUGGCCCUUUCUUCUAUGUUCAAAGCUAGCAGUGGAACAUCCUCAUACAUCUCUAACUCUGACAGUGCUGCUACCUUCUUUCACUUACAAGGCUCCAUGUGCUUACAAUAGGCCCUUCCAGGCAAUCCAAACUAACCACUGCAUUUUCAGAUCCUAAUCACUUCUGCAAAGUCUCUUCCGCAAUGCAAAGUAACAUAUUUAUAGGUUCUGGAACUAAGUUCAAAUGAACACUCAGCUUUGUACCUCAGAUAUCCUUUUCCUUGUCUCUUGCUAUGUAUCAAAUAGAUGAAGAUGUUUAUAAAACAGAGAUUGAAUAUAAAAUAGAGGCUCUUCCCCCAGAGCCUCCAGAAGGAAUUCAGCCCUUAGGGCAUAUUUAGUGAAACUUGUCUGGACUUCUGAUCCCCAGAACUUAGAAUAGUUUGUGUUACUUAAAAAAAAAAAGAAAAAGAUUAUUAGGGCUGAUGCUGUGGGACAGUAGUUAAGCCGCCACCUUUAGUGUCAGCAUCCCAUGUGGGUGCUGGUUCAAGUCCAAGCUGAUCCUCUUCUGGUCCAGCUUUCUGUUUAUGAUCUGGGAGGGUAGUGGAAGAUGGCCCAAGCCCUUGGGCCCCUGUACCUAUGUGAGACCUGGAAGAAGCUCCUGGCUCCUAGCUUCAUAUCUGCCCAGCUCUAGCCAUUGCAGCCAUUUGGGGAGUGAACCCAUGGAUGAAAGACCUCUUUCUGUCUGUACCUCUCUGUAACUCUGCCUCUUAAACAUAUAAAUAAAUAAAAUCUUUAAAAAAUAUUUAUUUUCAUUUUGUUUGAAAGCUAGAAUGGCAGAGACAGAGAAACAGAGAGGUUUUCAUCUGCUGGUUCACUCCUCACAUGGCUGACACUGCCAGGCCGAAGCCUGAAACCCCAGAACUCCCAUGUGAAUGGCAGGGGCUGAAGUAUUUGAGCCAUCAUUUGCUACCUUCCCAGGGUGUGCGUUAGUAGGAAACUGGAUCAGAAGUGGAGCUGGAACUCAACACAGGCACUCUGAUAUGGUAGGCAAGCAUCCCAAGUGGCAUUUUAACUGCUGUGCCAAACACCUGCCCCAGUUUCUAAUUUCAAGCCACUAAGAAGUUUGUGGUGAUUUGUUACAGCAGCAAUAGUGAAACUGAUGUUGUUGAAGAUCACAUAAUUAGAAAAGAAAGUAGUCUAUAAAACCUAGCCUUGAGCUCAACUAAUAUGACUCUAGAGAAUAACUGGCAGGCCAGCUGAACUUGACCCUAGCAUGGUAGAAUGUAUUACAUCUCAUUAAGAAAUGGGACUGUUGGGAAGGGAGUUGGUUAGUUACAUAAUUUGAAGCAGAGUAGCCUGUCUAGUACUUUGUCGUACUUAGAAUAUAACCUAGUUGUAGAGAAUGAUACAUGAGACUAAUUUACACUGAUGUUGUUAAAUAUAUAUUUGAUAACUUAUUUGAUUUCAUUGCUCACCAUAAAACACACAUUUGACUAUAAUUUAGCUUCCUGUGUGGCACAUCUAUAUGGAGAGAAUGCUUUGAGCAAACAUUGGAUCACCUAUGCAUCACUGCUCUCUUCCCCUGCCUUCCUGCCUCAUGAUGGAGCCUUGAUUUUGUAAUCUAUCCUCUCUGGAGAACAAAUCAUGAUUGACCUCAGCCAAUCAGGAUGGACUCAAUUUCUUUGUCAGUGAUUGGCCAGAUGUAGCUGUGGCAGUAAGACAUGUGCUAGGAGUCUGAAGACACAGAUAUUCCUCCCUGAUAAAAAUAUUGAAAGGGGGAGAAAUAAUCUUCCACUGAAUGUUGUCAUGUCUGCAUGUGACACCUAUAAUAAAGGAGCCAUCUUGAAAAUCGUUAAUCCUAUGUGCUGAUGACAGAACAGAAGAACUUGGGCCCUUGAACUUGUUGAACAACUGAAAUAAUAAACCUUGGAGAUGGCUAUUGAGACUUCUUAUUGAGUGAUUAAAAAAAUGAGUUGGUCUAUACGUGGAGUAAUUAAUGUGUUGUGAAAUCAUUGAUUUGUCCUAAAUUAUAUAGUGCCAGGAUUAUUUCCAGCAGAGUUGCUCUGAAAUGGAAAAUAUUAUCUCCCAAGGACACAGUCUUUUUGUCCUUAGAAAUACUAAGCAAAAGUUGAAUAACCACUUGAUGAUUUGGGAUUCCUGCAUGAGGGGAAGUUUGGACUACAUGACCUUAGAUCUUUCUAACUGGAAGAUUCCAGCUUCAUGAUUCUAAAAUCAGAAUAAUGUAGCAAUCCCUUGCUGAGGCUGAGAAAGGGCUGAAUGCACUUAGCUUCUCCAUUUUGGGCCUCUGCAGCUCACCAAGGAUCUCUGCUUUCUUUGAGGGGUAGGUGUGGAACAGUUUCUCAUUUUUCUAAGUAGACGGUUUUCUUUUUUCUGACUUUGUUGUCUAUUGGAUUGGGUCUUUAUUUCCAGAAAGCAGGAAGAAAUAAUUGUGUCAUGAUGUUAAAGUCUUCUUUUAUUGAUAAGAUGCACCGAUCUAGGGAAAGAAGAAAGUAUAUUUGAGUAGAUGCCAGGAAUGUGUGUCUUAUUGUAGUAGUCUUUUGAGCAUAGUUCUUCCUUUUGGAAUAUAGACCAGUUAUUCCAGUCUUAGGUUUUAGGGACAGAAUGAAAUAAUAAUACGUUGGAAAAAUAGUAAUGUAAAUGUUUUUGUGCUAUUUGAGUUUGUAAGUUGAUAAUGAUUCUUUAUUGAGUUAAUAAGUAGUUCAAGUUGAUUUCUCUUUUGAAUUUUAAGGUGAUAGAAGCUAAAUAUUUUAUUUUGUUUGGGUUCAAUCUUUUAUUUUUUUUCCCAGAAGCCUUUUGCUUAAGGAAUACAAACAUGCUUUCAUAAAUACAACUCUAGGAAUACAGUAAUUCUUCCCCCCCCAACCUCUUCCUCCUCCCUCUCCUAUUCCUAUUCUCAUUUUUAUUUUUUUUACUAAGAUCUAUUUUCCAUUAACUUUUUUUUUUUUUUUGACAGGCAAGUUAGACAGUGAGCGAGAGAGAGACAGAGAGAAAGGUCUUCCUUUUUCCGUUGGUUCACCCCCCCAAGUGGCCACUACAGCCGGUGUGCUGCGGCCAGCGCGCUGUGCCGAUCCGAAGCCAGGAGCAGGUGCUUCCUCCUGGUCUCCCAUGCGGGUGCAGGGGCCCAAGCACUUGGGCCAUUCUCCACUGCCUUCCCGGGCCACAGCAGAGAGCUGGACUGGAAGAGGAGCAACCGGGACAGAAUCGGUGCCCCAACUGGGACUAGAACCCGGGGUGCUGACGCUGCAGGCAGAGGAUUAGCCUAGUGAGCCGCAGUGCUGGCUAUUUUCCAUUAACUUUAUACACAUACGAUUAAUUCUAUACUAAGUAAAGAGGUCAACAAAUUGUAUAAAAAAAAACCUGUUCCUCAAUGGGUGAGACAAGGGGUAUUCAAAGUCAUCGCAUCUUGAAGUAUUGCUAUCACUUCUAUAGAUUACCUUUUAGGUGCUCUAUUAGUUAUCUCAGGUUGGGGAGAACAUAAGGUAUUUGUCCUUUUGGGACAGGCUUAUUUCACUAAAUAUGAUGUUUUCCAGUUUCAUCCAUUUUAUUGCAGACAAUGGGAUUUCUUUUUUUUUUUAACCACUAUGUGGUAUUCCAUGGUGUGUAUAACUCAUAAUUUCUUUAUCCUAUCUUCAGUUGAUGGCACUUGGUUGAUUCCAUGUCUUAGCUAUUGUGAAUUGAGCUAUAAUAAACUUGGGGUACAGAUAAAGUUCUGUAGAUAUCUGUUAGGUCCAUUUGGUGUAUAGAGGCGAUUAACUCUGUUGUUUCCUUGCUGAUUUUCUGUCCUGUUGAUAGAAGCUAAAUAAUUUAAAAACAAAAUGCAAAUGAUUAGUCUAUUGUGAACAGUAAAGAACACCAGAAUUACAUUAUUCACAGUGUUUAAUUUUGAGUUGUCUUAUAUUAAAAGUAAGGCACAAAGGUUUAAGUUCAGGUUUUAAUUUCUUUUUUUUUCCCUCUUUUUUUUUUUUUUAAAGAUUUAUUCAUUUAUUUGAAAGAGUUACACAGAGAGAGGAGAGGCAAAUAGAGAGAGAGAGGUCUUCCAUUCACUGGUUCACUCCCCAAUUGGCCACAAUUGCCAGACCUGCACCGAUCGGAAGCCAGGAGCCACAUGGGUGCAGGGGCCCAAUUACUUGGACCAUCUUCUACUGCUUUCCCAGGCCAUAGCAGCGAGCUGGAUUGGAAGUGGAGCAGUUGGGUCUCGAACUGGCGCCCAUAUGGGAUGCUGGCGCUUCAGGCCAGGGUGCUGGCUCCAGAUUUUAAUUUCUUUAAAAAUUUUUUAAAGAUUUAUUUAUUUAUUUGAAAGGCAGAAUUAGAGAGAGAGAGAGAGAAGUCUUUCAUCUGCUGGUCCACUCCCUAAAUGGCCACAAUGGCUGGAGCCACACGGAUCCGAAGCCAGGAGCCAGGAGCUUCUUCCAGGUCUCUCAUGUGUGUGCAAGGGCCCAAAGACUUUGGCCGUCUUUCACUGUUUUCCCAUGCCAUAGCAGAGAGCUGGAUCAGAAGUAGACCUGGGGGCCGGCGCUGUGGCGUAGCAGUUAAAGCCAUUGCCUGCAGUGCCAGCAUCCCAUAUGGGCACCAGUUAGAGACCUGGCUGCUCCACGUCCGAUCCACCUCCGCCACGGCCUGGGAAAGCAGUAGAAGAUGGCCCAAGUCCUUGGGUCCCUGCACCCACGUGGGAAACCCAGAAGAAACUCCUGGCUCCUGGUUUUGGAUCAGCACAGCUGCGGCCAUUGCGGCCAGUUGGGGAGUGAACCAGCAGAUGGAAGACCUCUCUUUCUCUGCUUCUCCUUUUCCCUCUUUGUAACUCUUUCAAAUAAAUCAAUAAAUCUUAAAAAAAAAAAAAAAAAAAAAAAAGAGAAGUGGAGCAGCCAGGACUUGAAUUGACACCCACACAGGGAUGCCAGCAUUGCAGACAGCAGCUUUACCUACUAUGCCACAGUGCUGGCCCCAGGUUUUAAUUUCCAACAUGACCUAAAUAUGCAUGGCGUAGACGAGGGGAGGACUAGCCACAUAGUGUUUAAGGAUCCUUCUCCAUCCCCCCAAGAAACCAUUUAUUUAAGGAGUACAAAUUUUGAAGUACAGCUUGAGGAAUAUAGUGAUUCUUCCCCUCAUACCUGCCCUCCCACCUCCACCCCCCCCCACCCCCGCGCUUUCCCAUUCCCAUUCUCCAUUAAGAGAAAAAGAAGUUCCUCAGUCAAGAUAAGGGCUGUUCAAGUCAUUUUAAACAUUCUUUCGAACUUGAUUGAAGCUUCCUGGGUCUUUGUUUUCUCAUAACGUUAAUUUGGCUUAAACUAUAAGGAAAAUAAAUUAACAUUGGUAGUUUAAAGAUGAUAGUCUUCUCUUGAAGGCUACCACACAUUUCAGAAGCUGGAAGAUGGACUCAGAGUAGACCUAUUUGUCUUCUGGAAUGGUGACCUGGCUGGUAGUUUUGUGAGGUUCCUUCCGGUUUUAGGCUUCUCUUUCUUUAACUUUCCCAAAACCUGCUCGCUCGCUCGCUCGCUCGCUCUCUCUCUCUCUCUCCCCUCUCUCUUUUUUUUAAUUUGAAUUGCAGAAUUAGAAAGGGAGAGAUAGAGAGAGGUCUUCCAUUUGCUGAUUCACUCCACAAAUGGCUGCAAGAGCCAGGGCCAGGCAGGCCGAAGUCAGGAGCCAGGAGCUUCUUCCAGGUCUCCCAUGUGGGGGCAGGGGCCCAAGGACCUGAGCCAUCUUCCACUGCUUUCCCAGGCACAUUAGUAGAGAGCUAGGUGGGAAGUGGAGCAGCCCUGACUCAAACUGGCGCUUGUAUGGAAUAGCAGUGCUGCAAGUCAUAGCUUUACCUGCUAAGCCACAGUGCCAGCACCGCCCUCCCCCUCCCCCUAUCCUGACCGGGAUCCCUUCUGUUAGUGAAACUUUUUGUAGUCCAGCUUCAACUUUUGCCAUCUCCUUAACCUGACGAUCUUUAUAAAACCAUGGCUAACCCUGAGCGUUUAGUUAAUAGAGGCACAUUUGUAUUUGGCAUUUCCCUGUCCCUCUUGAUGUUAGCUGUUUCAGACGUGAUGUAUAGUUCUUGUCAUCUUGCUCUCAGGAAGCCAUAUUGAUCUUCCCUGGGUAGUGAUAGAUUCCAGAUCAUCUUCAUUAUUACCCUGCAACAGAAUUUGUCACUUCUGCCUGUUUCCUGCCUAGUAAGCCUCCAUUUGUUCUAUGGUAAUUGAUGUUAUACUCAACCAUAGAGUUGAGUAUGUCUGUACAUUUUAUUAUGUUGUCCUCCCUCCCCUUUACUUAAACAACAACCCGCGAAUGUCUGAAGGCCUAGUUUGGCCUCCUGUAAUUUGUAGCUUGGGUGCCUGUGACGUCUGUGAGGUCUCCUGUACCUAGGAGGUGGGUGAUUGCCGCUGCCUUACCCCUCCUCCUGCUACUUGCCGCAGUAGCUCAUAGGGCCACUUGGUUUAGUGUUCUCAUUGCCUUGUUGAAUUGCAUGUAAUAAUUUUUUUAAAGCACCCUGUAUUUUCAUUAUACACCUGGUCCAGGAAAUUAUGUAGCCAUUUUGUCAAUGAGCUUUUAUUCAUCGCCUGCUUUUUCUCUUGUGUUUGUUUCCAGCUUCUCCUUGUGAGCUUCCAGUGCUGCCCCGUCCCCUGCCAUAUUUUAAACUUCAUCUUCUUCCUUUUAGUCUUUGUUCACAACCUGAAGUGUUCUCAUAGUCACAGCAUUUGUUUUUUUCAGUAGCUUGAUCAGUUUGCCAAUCAAUUGCAGUUCUUUCUUGAGCUUCACAGACUUUUUUUCCCAUUCUGUUGAGGAGCCUCUGUAAUAAGUUUCUUCAGUUUCUGCCAAUGAGUUCUAUUCUUCAGAAAUUACACACACCUAUUUUGGGUCAGUAACAUUCUGCAUUUAAUUGAAGUGUAACUGUUCACACAGAGUUGGCCCUGGAGCUGACUGAGUUACUGAUGGACUCAAGUCUGUCCCAGUGCGGGCUAGAAAGUCCCUGUAUCAUGUCCUGCUUUGCUGUUGUGCAAUGAGGGAGUUUCAGCUAGAUCACGGAGUAGCACUGAGGGUUUUUGGUUUCUUGAAUGAUUAGUCUCUAGAAUAUGGUUUCAUAUAUAAAGGCGGUUAGAAUUGUUCGAGUGGGAGGGAGAAAAAAAUGAGCAGAAGUGGAGUAUGUUACUAGCACAUUGUGCUAGGGAGAAAGCCCCAGCAGGAUUCUGACGGGGCUGGCUGGGGUGGGGUGAGUAGAUAGUGUGUGAAGAGCUAGCAUUUUAGCUGACGCCUUUCCGAGCUGGGCAGCGGGCUGCAUGACUGGUGAAGGGAGAGCAGUCCCGGAAGAGACAACACAAGUUCAGACGCUCUUAGGAAGGGGCAGUUGGAACAUAGUGAAGGCGCUGCGGAUGUGUGGACGUGUGUUCACGCUGGUAAACAGGUGUGGGGAGAGCUUUUCUGGUUUUGUAAGGGGAGGAUAAUAGUUGCUACAUUUAAGAAUGCUGGAGCCCAGUGGGUUUUUUUUUUUUUUUAAUAUGUAUUUAUUUAUUUGAAAGAGUUACAGAGAGGAGAGGCAGAGAAAGAGAGGGAUCUUCAUCCGCUGGUUCACUCCCCAGUUGGCCACAAUGGCCGGAGCUGCGCCGAUCUGAAGCCAGGGGCCAAGAGCUUCUUCCAGGUCUUCCCACAUGGGUGCAGGGGCCCAAGGACAUGGGCCAUCUUCUACUGCUUUCCCAGGCCAUAGCAGAGAGCUGGAUCAAAAGUGGAGCAGCCAGGACUUGAACCCACACCCAUAUAGGAUGCUGGCGCUUCAGGUGGCUGCUUUAUCCGUUAUGCCACAGCACUGGCCCCCGGAGCCCAGUUUUUUAAAAAUGGCAAACCAGAACACUGCUAGAAGGAAGUUUUCCCCUUGUGCUCAGAUAGUUGCUUGAGAUAAUCAGUAACUCUGUCAGCUCUGGGGCCAACUCAUUGUGAACAGUUAUGUAUUAGACAGUAUUAGGGAAUAAUGACUGGAAAAAAGUCUAUAAGCUCAGUAUACAGUUUUCUAUCUGCAGAUGGUUGAAUCCAGCAGUGUGGAUCCAGUGGAUACGGAAGGCCAAUUGUAUAGUCAAGUGUCUGAAGUGUUUGCAUGUUUCUAACAUAAACAAAUCUCACAUUUCUUUCUAAAUGUGCAGCAGCAGUUCUAAUGGAUUGUAGACAGAUCACAUACUUGUUGGAACUAACAAACUUGACAUUUUGCCCCACCUACCAGCAUAGUUUAAAUACUUGGUUCUUAUUUUCAUUUGAUAGAACAUAACUCUGGUAAUUGCCUGCUAAAAUCUGUAAAUGGUAGUAGCCAUCAACUUUUAGCAUCAAUGGAAGGAAUAGCAUAGUCCAUGAAAAUCAAAAUAGCCUGUGUAUGGAGGCAGAUGUUUGUAUGGUAACUUGCAGAACAUAAUGGCUAGUUACUGCAGGGGUGUCACUGGCUUGUAUUCUUUGCAAUAGAAUAGUAAUUUUUCAGUUAAGUGGAUAUUUGACUUGAGUGUGAAUUGUCUAAUUUUAUGAUCAUAUCGUGGGAGAACUGCAGUACUACCAUAUACCCAGCUAUGACGUACUCCUGAUGCUGUGCUCAUAGGCUAGUGAAGUCUGUAUAGGGCAUUUGUUUCAAAAAGUUUCUUGAGUUCCUAAACAUUUCAUCAUUGCUUGAGAAAAUAAGGAAACUAGCAUUCUUGCAUUGUUGUUUUCAUUAAUCUGUUUGUUUUGAGACUGACUUGUCCAUUGUGCAAGUUUUAAACACCUACUUUAUACAAAAUGUAAAACUAAAAUACCUAGAGAAGUGGCGGACAGGAGCCGGCGCUGUGGUGUAGUAGGCUACACCUCUGCCUGUGGCGCCAGCAUCCCAAAUGGGUGCCAGUUGGUGUUCCGGCUGCUCUUCUUCCCAUCCAGCUCUCUGCUAGUGGCCUGGGGAAGCAGUGGAGGAUGGCCCAAGUGCUUGGGUUCCUACACUCAUAUGGGAGACCCUGAAGAGGCUCCUGACUUUGGAUCAGCCCAGCCCCAGCCGUUGUGGUCAUUUGUGGAGAGAACCAGUGGAUAGAAGACCUUUCUCUGUCUGCUCUCUCUCUCUCUGUAACUCUAUUUCUCAAAUAAAUAAAUUUAAAAAAAGAUGGGGGAUAUGAAAACGACGGCUCAUUCUUUCAAGUUAGGGAUAGACAUCAUUUAGGAGGCUGGAUAGUCAGGUGAGAAGUGCGUAUGUGGAAUGCUCAGCUGGCCUUUCAGAGGCUGGUAGGAGUAGAAGCCACGCUCAAAGAACAAGGAGGGGCAGUCUGUAACUGCAGUCCCCACCACACUUAGGGUAUGGCUCCAAACCUGUGUUGUGCUGAGACCACUUGUCUGGUUUGUGCCUGGCUGAGGACUUUCUCUGUCCAGCUCCCUCUACCUGGAAUGCUGCUGCUCCGGUUCCUUUCCUGGCUAAUUCCUGGUCUGCUGUUACCUCUCUGCUUAGAUGUCACAUCCUGCAAGGGAGCUCACUGGGGCUGCUGUGCAAGCACACAUGAGCUACACCCUGCAGAAGGGCUGCCUGGUGAAAAUCAAGAGUUCUGGCUCCUACUCUCAUUGCCCCAGGUAUUUUUUUCCUUCACAGCCAGGAACAUUGUGAACCCCCAAGUGUGCCCGCUUGUUUAUGCAGUGGAACCAGAGGCUUGCUGAGGGUGGGCCUCUAGGCCUCUACCCCAGGUCCCAGCACCUAGUUAGUUUGCAGUAAACAGUUUUUGGAUGUGUGAACAAAUGUGGUCCGCAAAUGGGAGCAGUAAAGAGAAACAGGAAGAAAGGCAUUAGCUCAAGGCAGUGUUGUGUUGAGGGAAAUGGAUCAUGGAUUGAUUGGUCUCAGGGUCAAGAAACCUGAAUGUGUUUGGAGACAAAAGCCAAGGAGCUGUUGAAGGAGAAGCUGAAGCUAAAAGUGAGGGAGGUAAAAUGAGGUUGUACAGGAGAUGGGGACAGAGAAAGAGUGCAAGAAGGAGAGAAGGGAGAAGAGGAGGCACAAGGGGAGACAGGGGUUUGGAAAUCACAGUCAGCCACCAGCAGAGUGUAGUGAGGGCUGAAGUAAAAUCACACGGUGUCCAGCAGUCUGCUGCUGAUACCGCAGCACUUUGAGUUGUGGUGGCAUGAUAGCCAGAGAAACUGCUGAGGGACAUGUCUGGAGCCUUACCCAGUUGGCGGCCCUGGUUUCACUCCCUGGCACAGAGUCAGGAAUGAUGCAUUGCGACUGUUAGACUGGCCUGUCGCGUUUGGGGGUCGGGGAGAUGUGUGCGUGCGAGUCGGGCUGGGCCAGGGUGCUGAGACCUGCCGUCGUCCUGCGCAGAGGGUUAGCUGUGCCACUGUUUGCUGUAGAUGUGGAACGAAUAUGAAAACUGUAAAGUAAAUGGACAGAUAAUUAUUUCCUAGCAUGUUUGUUGCUUUGCUUCCUACCUGAAAGACUGAUUUUCUUUAGUGAUGCUUUUGGAAGCCUAUACAGUGCAUCUACUCUGUCUGUAAUGCUGGGUGUCACAUAAAAUGGCAAGAUCAUACUUUUUUUAAAAAAAGAUUUAUUUAUUUAUUUGAAAGGCAGAGUUACAGAAAGGCAGUGGGGGUGGGAGAGAAAUAGAUAUGUCUUGCAUCCUCUGAUUCACUCCGCACAAUAGUCAGAGCUGUGCUGAUCUGAAACCAGGAGCCAGCAGCUUCUUCCAGGUCUCCCACGUGGGUGCAGGGGCCCAAGGACUUGGGCCAUCUUUUACUGCUUUCCCAGGCCACAGCAGAGAGCCACAGCAGAGGGACUCGACCGGCGGCCCGGCAGCUGUAUGGGAUGCUGGCACAGCAGGCGGCAGCUUCACCCACUACACCACAGUGCCGGCACCAAGAACAUACUUUUGAAGGAGCUGGGUCUGGAGUCUUAAGAUCAUGGACGAGUUCUGUGGUAACAGCUCAAUUUUACUGGAUUGGCGGCUUCUCCAGGGCAAAAGAUUUGCAAAACAGUUGAUACUGACUUCCCUGGCACACACUGUAGCACACACAGGAGUAGCUUCCAGAGCUUGGGACAUGCGCCUGGUCGUAGGAGUCAGGAGUGAGAGGAGGAGCAGAGAUGGACAAGCGCUGGGAGAAGCAGGCAGUGGCCAGGUGAGAGCAGCACAGGGCCCAGGCCACGUCCCCAGUGGCCGCCACGCGUGAUAGCGAGCUCCUCUGUGGCUGUGGCCACAUGAAUUCCCACGUUCACAAGGUGGCUCCUGGCAGACGGGACUUAGGUUUUUCUGUCUCUUUCUGCUUUGAGGAACGCAACCCACAGAAUUUUGAAAUGCUGAAAUAGUAAAGCAUCUUUGAAAAACCUUUUGGUAAAAUUUUUCCUGGUAGCAACAUUAUACUCUAGAAAUAGAAGAUGUAAGUACAAGGUCCUUGCCCCCAUUCUCGUGUUUUAAGUUUCUUGAGCAGCCUUUUUGUUGCCCUGCUGAAAUCCCGCCUCCCUUUUGUGUGCGUCUCUGGUGUUCCUCUAGCCAUGUUGGAAAUGACAGGCAGCACGUGCCAGGGCAGCAGCAUCAUGUAUGCACUUGAUAAUGGAUCGCCAGCACUUUCCACAGCUACGUGAGAGGUAACCGUUGUAACAAUUAACAUUCUUGACAGAUGCUAAGAUUGUUUUCUGGAUUUCUUCCUUUCCUUUCUGUGUGCUAACAGUACUACUCGAGCGUAGCUGUAAAUACCUUCCUGUACGGACUUUCGUAUUUACAUGUGAAAAGAAAUCUGAAGGAUGUGGAUUUUUGAAACUGUGGUAGAUGAGCAUUGUGUUUCAGAAAGUACCAGUUCCUACUUCUCCCAGGGGCGCAGUUUGAGCGCCGUCUCCCCCAGACUCUUCAGAACCCUCAUCAGACUGCCAGCAUCUCAUUUUGGUGUGAAAUUCUUUUGAAUGGAUUUGAAGAUAUUUUCAUAUGAUAACCAGUUUUUUUCCUCAGUGAAUUGUAGGCAACUGUUAACCAUUUUUCAUUGGGUUAUAUUUUUCAUAACAAUUUGUAAUGACUCUAUCCAUAAUAUGUGUGAGUGUGUGUGUGUGUGUGUAUCUAUACCCAUAAUAUUUGUUACAAAUAUUUCCCUCAAUUUAUUGUUUGUAAGUGGUGUUUUAUUUUGUUUGGCAUUUUUCCUCUUCUUUCUUUUCUUUCUUUUUGUUUUUAAAUCAAUUGUGUCCUUUUUUGGCUUCUGUAUUUAUAGUCCUUCCUGUGCUGUAAAAUGUGUCUUAGGAGCAGCAGGUAAAGCCUUUGCCUGCUGUGCUGGCAUCCUAUAUGGGCACUGAUUCUUGUUCUGGCUGCUCCACUUCCGAUCCAGCUCCCUGCUAAUGGCCUGGGAAGCAGUAGAAGAUGGCCCAGGUUGUUUGGGCCCCUGCACCCACACGGGAGACCUGGAUGAAGCUCCUGGCUUCUGGCUUCCUCCUGCCCCUGCCCCUGCCCCUGCCCCUGCCGUUAUGGCCAUAUGGGAAGUGAACCAGUAGAUGGAAGACCCCCCCCCCCCCCACUCUGUCUCUCCCUUUCUCUGUGUAACUCUGACUUUCAAAUAAAUAAAUAAACUUUAAAAAAUGAAUAAAUAAAAUAUAUCUUAAACAUUUUUACCCAUUUUGUCCACAAAUAUUUUUAUGACUCUCAGGCAUUCAUUUAUGAUAUUUUUUUCUUUUAUAGAAAGCUUUUAAUUUCAUUAUUUAUUUGUGAGGCAGAGAGCGAGUGAGCCCGAGCCCCCAUCUGCUGGUGCACAUCCCAAAUGCCUGCAAGCGCUGGGGGCACCAAGUUGACUUCUAAGAAAUACACUGUUCAGAUGACAGGCUCACAUCUAGUGUGUUGCCAGGUUUAACUCCUUUCUGUAUAGAAGAUCCAGUCCAAACCAAAGAGAUAAUUUAUUAUGAGAAUCUUUUUGACAUUGGACAUUCGUAAGUAGGAAUUGUUCCUAUCAGUCUUUGAUUCUGUCGUUUGUUGAAAUCUAUACCUAACUCACUAGAAUUCAUUGAUCCUGUUAAAUGGGAGACUUCUAUGUAGCAUUUCUGAAGUGACAGAUGGAUUUUUAAGUUUUAUGAUCAGUAUAAUUAAUGACUGGGAAUAAAAUUAGUAAACCAGAGCAUGUCUUCUGAGUGUUAAAAUCUCAUUACAUUAUCCCCAGAGGCCAUGAUUGGAGUGGGAGUAGUGCAAGCUGUACCCUUGUCACAGUAUUUGUGAUGGUGGACUGUAGCUCGUAUAAUGAAACAUGGAGCAGUUGAAGCAAAAUAGAGGUGCAGGGGUGAGGGCAUUGCAGCUGUGAAUGUCACAUGGAUGAGGGUAAAAACUUGAAGGCAAGAUCUGAGUUCUGCAGAGGCCAGUGAGUGCGCCUCUUAGCUACUUUUAGUUUUUGCCAAUGAGUGGUAGCCAGUAAGAGUUGAGAAGAGGUGUGGGCGAAAGAUAGACUCCCUCUGUUGAUGCAGGACAGAUUUGGGGUCUAUAGAUAAGUGAAUGUUUAAAGCUUAUCUAUUAAUUAGUUAUGGUUUUUUCUGAAGUGUAUAACAUGCUGAAAAGAGCAGGACUCUUGCCUUGGCAGGGAAGGAUUGGCUGCUUGCAGAUAAGAUCAGCAUGCAGUUUUCCAUAAUUCAGACGUGACUCUAUCAGAAGAUAAGCCUUUGGAAUUAGUCUGUGAACAUCAGUGGGAAAGAACUUCCAGAGCUUAUUGAUUUAAACUUAGAUGUGACUCCACACAAGUCUUUUUUCCCCUAUAUUUCUUUGUAAGUUGCAAUGUAUUAUUUGAAAGCAUGAUACUGAGACCUAUGGACUUCAAAGUCAGACCAUGUAACUCUUAACUGUGGUCUGGAUACUAAAUUCGUUGGGCUCCUUGAGAAGUUAUAAAAGAUAAUCUAACUCAGAAAUAUGUUUACGUUGCUUUCAGAUAAACAUAGGGCUUUGAUUGAAUCAGAUGCAUCUAUUUUGAUGGUUUAGGGUGAUGUAUCCUAUUUCCCCAAAAUUAAAGAAUUUCAUUGGUAUACACAGAACCAGUAGAGAAAUGCAAAACAUGUCACAGUAAUAUUAAUAUGUAGAUUCUGCUUGAUAAUUUAUAAAAUACCUUUAAUUAGUGUGCAUGAAUGGUAUAAAAUUAUAUUUGUCUUCAGUUCACUACAGUUAGGGCCGAUUCUUUGAGUGGCAGCAAAAUUUCUGAAUUUUAAAUUAUGGUUUCAGUUAAAUGGAGGGACUCUUAAGUGAGUUUUGAAGGUGUUCGGCUGAUUUAACCUUUCACAACAGUCUGGGGCAUUAGGUUUGGGAUCAGAACUACCAGCUUUCUCCACAUGCAGGAGAACUGCCUUUCAGGAUCAGCGCAGGGUUAUGGAAACAAGCUUCACACUGAAGAGGCACAUGAUGACCACGGGUCAGUUACCACGUCAAGAUUCAGGAUCCUUAGUGCAUUUUGCUUUUCAUAAGCCCUAGAAUCUCAUUCUGUUGUCACUUAAAAUAUACCGACCUCCUAUCUCUUGCGGAAACAUAGGAAUCCUCACUUUCUGUCUCCAUAGCAUCAUAGCCCAGACUGAGGACCCGAAUUAGGAAACAGACCCCUGGGCUUGCUGAGGAGGUUGGAACCUGUUGUGCUAAGCAUUUGACAUCUGGCUCUGGAAGCAAUCUUUGUUGAAUGAGUCAGCACUUUGCUUUGAUUGGAGAAAUAGGUUAAUUUUGAUGUACUACUAUCAUUGCUGUUGGUGCCGGGAAUUCUGAAUACCCAAAAAUAUAUUUCUUAGGGCCAGGCCAUUGUUUUGUGUGUGUGUGUGUGUGUGUGUGUGUGUGUGUUUAAAUUUACUUCGAGAGAGACCCUCAGCCUAUCUGCUGGUACAGCCUCCAAAGGCCCAAAGCCAUGAGGUGGGAGGGAAAUCUUGGACCCCAGGUGGGUGGUAGGGGCCAUGACCUCCUGCCUGGGGAGCGGGUGGUGGGGCAGCAUGAGCAGGAAGCUGGAACAGAGAACUAAGCAGGGACUUGAACAAGGCACACGAAGCUGUUUAAGCAUUGCCUGGAAGGAUGCUACCCUUAGCUUGUGGUUCCUCUGCCCACUUUGGCUGCAAAUCAGCUCCACUGAAAGAUCAACUGACUCCAUUAAGGGAGUUCCACUCCCAAGCAGAGUGUCUGGGUUUGAGUCCCACCUCCUCCUUCCACCACCUCAGCACUGGGUCCAAGCUUCUGGAUUCUACAGCAGAGCCAUCCGUAUGGGGUUGGGACUUGGAUUGCUGACAGCUCUCUGAAUGGGAACCUUAAUGUCCAAAGCAGUGUUACUGAACCACCCUCUCAGGACCCCAGAAAACAUCUUUUGGGUUAUUAUGACCCCCACAACAGGACAGAACUACAGGCCUUCCUGCCCAACCCAAACUAGCCCAGACCUUGGUAUUCUUCCGUAAGCUCUGGGAAGCUCCCACCCACCACAGGCUGAGCCAAGAAGCUGCCACCACCCUCCCUCAACCCCCACCCCAGUGUCCGCUGCUCAGCUGUGGAGCUGAGGGGGUGCCGUGGGUGGGAGGCCGCGAAGAGGGUCCCAGGAAACCCCUGCGAGCCUUCCUCAGUGGUGAGGGCCAGGUCAUCGUCAGUGCUUCAGCGUGCCACGGUCCCUUCUUGCCCUGGUAUGUCUAUCAAAACCCAAGGUGCUAACUUCAUUAAUAUUGUUAUAUUAAACUAAAAAGUAAAUGUUUUAUAAUCUCAGGAAGUGAAUAACAUAGAGCCAGCUUGGAAUCGAUUGUCGUUAUUUGUGUCCUCAGUAGCUAACAGGACAAGAAGGGCACCCUUCCAUCCACAGUAGGACUGUGCCUCUCUAUGUAGAAAUGUGUGCGUUUUCACUUUUCUGUGCUAGAAUGCCUUCUAAUUGUUUAUUUGAGUGUCAUGUUAGAGGUUUCAUUCCAUGCUCGUUUGUUCAUUCACAUGUAUUUUUAUUUUUAGCGCUAAGCCAAGGGCAGGAGGCCUCAGCCUGACAUGAGGUGGUUUUGAGGUCAUCUGAUUUCUGACUAGAAGGUGUGUGAUCGCCUCCUCCUGAAACCACUUCAGACGCAAUGGUUUGCAAUUUUUUUUGGUGAUGGCAUGUUCAGAAUCUUGGAUCCCUAAAUUGAAUAUAUUGGAAUAUUUAGGAACCCUGGAAAUUAUAUUUUUGUGUACAUAAUGACUUACUAGGUGAAUCAACAGAUUUAAUAAAAGUACAUAAAAGAGCAGAUAUUAUAAUUUUGUACUUCC